rnacentral:lncRNA from 1 species
CAUGGAGGACAUUACAGUUGAUGGAUAUCACAUACCCAAAAAAUCAAGAGUCUUUAUCAAUAUUUGGACCAUUGGGAGGGAUCCAAGUGUAUGGUCAGAUAAUGUGGAAGAAUUCUACCCUGAAAGGUUUAUGAAUAGUAACGUUGACCUACGUGGACAUGACUUCCAGCUCAUACCAUUUGGGUCUGGUCGAAGACGGUGCCCUGCUAUGCAAUUAGGGUUAACCACAGUUCGUCUUGCUCUGGGAAACUUGUUGCACUGCUUCAACUGGGAGCUCCCUAGUGGAAUGCUACCUAAAGACUUGGACAUGACUGAGAAAUUCCGCUUAUCGUUGUCGAAAGCCAAACACUUGCUUGCCAUGCCGACGUGCCGCCUGUACAAUCGACCUUAAUAUCUAUAGUACGUCUAGGCAUAAAUUGGAUUAAUGCAAAUAUCUUGUAGCUCAGUUGAUUAAGAAUAUUAUUCCUUGCCUUUGAGGUAGUUUGUUCGAUUUCCCUCUUGUAAAAAAUAAUUUGCUUGUCAUAAUGCCCACCUAUGUACCGCCUACACGGUCAACCUUCACAAAGGGUUGAAAUAAAUGUUUUGUAGUUAUAAUAGUGUUUCUUUGAGUAAUGCUAGGGAGACUGUUAAAUUUGUAGACUAAACUUACAAACUAAAUAAUAUGUUACAAAUAAGAAAUGAACACGUUUAUCAACAAUUAAAUGAUAAUCCAAUUAUCAACUUUCAUGUCAUUUAAUUUACAAAAUUUAAUCUCCCUAGCAUUACUCGUGUUCCUUUUAUGCCACCUCUGACUAGGAAAGAUUAAAGUAGUUACAUCGUAAAAGUAUUAACCAUAAUACGUUUUUCAUUCUCUUAAUUAAUGUUUAAAAUUAUCUUACAAAAAGCUAAUACAAUUGGAGCUGGUUUAGAUUAAUAUUUCAAUAAUUGCGCCCUUUUUACUUACAUAUCUAAGUUUAUCACUUUAUGUGUACUAGUUUGUUUUGUUUUUGGGUUUUGCACUUAGGUUUCAUUCAUUCGUUCAUUAUUUAUUUCUUUCCUUCUUUCCUCAUUCUUCUUUUUUUUUUCCCAUUUAUAUUUUCUCCACAUCUCAAACACAAAAUGUAAAAACUAAAAAUCAAAUAGCCAUCAGACGAAUUCUUAAAUUUUACUCUCUUAAAAUAUACUUUUUCUCUGGAACUCUCUCAUGUAGCACUCAUCUCGCUAUUUUUUCUUCUUAUAAUACAAUGAUAUGUUUACACCAAAGGAGACAAUAAACCGGUAUCAAACUUGUCAUUCAUAAGAUUCGAAUCUAAAACCACUCACUUACAAGUGAAGGGUAUUAAGGGUACAAGUGUAAUACGGUUAGAAAUAUAGUUAGUAAUAUAGUUAGUAAGGUUGUUAGUAUUUGGUUAAAAGUAGUUAGGAUUUAUCUUAUAAAAACAGUGUGUAAUCUUCAUUUUAGUCAGUUAAUCCAAAUCCUAUUUCUCUCUCUAAACUAUCUAUGUCGCUCUCUAAGAUCUCUGUGUUCAUUCUUCUUCAUCUUCCUUCUUAAUUUUCCUUUCAAUUCUCAAACAUUGCAAUGUAGUUAACAUGGUAUCAGAGCCACCAGGCUCACGCCAUAGAUUCUGGUGGUUCCACUUCCCAUUAUUUUUCAUAUGUUUCUAGCUUAGUUCUUUCCAAAUUUUCAUUAGAUGUUUGAAUAAAUUUCUGGGUGCUUCCGCGAUCGUUGUUUUACUUAUGGGUUGAUUUUUCUGGAUUGUGAUUAGAGAUUUCUCUACUGAACGUGAUUGAUUUUCACCGAUCUUUACUUCUCAUCGAUUUUGGGGAUUGAAUUUCUUGUUCUGAUGCAGAGUCGGCAAGUAAGUACCCUGAGUCAUGUUCACAAGGUGUUCGAAGGAAGACCUGAGAGAAGAAGUGUGGUACCCGAAUUUGUUUCUUGACGAACCGAUUUCAAUUCACGAUGUUCUUGGCCCGUCCUCUGCUUUGGUUCCGAGCGAUGUUAAUCAGGGUUGGGAUAUUAUCUUAUCGCCGGCCUGCGAUUCCAAUUCCAACAUGGUUUUUGAUGUUUCUGAUGCCAAGAACAUGGUCGAUUGGUCCCGGAUCAUCCUAUUGCUGGGCUCGAAAGGGUUCGUUUCUUUCGUUGUCGGGCUGAACCCUAUUCUUGAUCGUUGUUCAGGCAUUUCUUGUGCUGCAAUGGCUUCUUGGGCUUGCAGGGCACCGUAUAAGGCUGCAGGUUCUUGAAAGCUUGUGAAUUGUGGGAGAUUAUAAGGGUUUGAAGUCUGUGACAAUGGAUACGCUUCAAGCUCCAAGCUUGGUGGAAGAAAGAUUGUGAGAUUCCAUAUUCUGCCUUAGAUUGAUGAGAGACUUCUGGUUUUCUCUCUCAGCAUUCUUGGGUCAAGAUUGAAGUUCUUAUCAGGUUCUUGAUUUCUGGGUUUUCACAGUGCACAUAAUCUGUUUGAUUAAAUGUUUCAGUAAGAAAAUGUUCACUAUUUUGUUCAUCUUUGUUGUGAAUCUCUUCUGGGAUAUUAGUGUAAUAUUUGGGAUAUUUAGAUUCAAGAAUAUUGAUCGUCGUGGUUAGUUUGAGUUUUCUUUGGGUAUUCAAUAAGGUGAAUUGUAGUGAUUUGUGGCUUGGUGCGAUGGGUUUUGAAGAUGGGUUAUGUUUGCAGCUUAUUUUAUGUAUCAAGUAUCUUAGGUUUUGAAGAUGAGUUUGUUAGCAUUGUUUCCGGUUUUUGUGAGUGGAUGAUGUUGUUGCCUGUGUAGAGGAUGAAAGUACUGGCUAUAUAUUACCAAACAAAUGGAUCUGAACCCCUGUUACCUGGUCAGUUUGUCAGCAAUUUGACUGAUGGUGAUGUAUCUGUAGUUUCACCCAAUCUUAGCAGUAUAAAAUGGAGUAUAAGAGGAUUGCAUUUAGUGCCUCUGAACUUGUAAGAAAUGGACAAGGAAACUCUCUUGAAACUGGCAGUCUCAUUUCAGUGAAUCUUGGCAGAUCAGUGUGCCAGGGCAAAGCAGCGAAGCAAGCAGCAAUGCCUGUUUAUUAGAUUCAGCAAAGGUUACUGGAGUGAGUGUUCAGGUGCUAACUGAGGAGUUGUGCAGUAUAUUUCUUAUCACAGCCUGUAAUUUCAGAGUCUAACCAACUCAGUUGUUAGCAUGAAUCUACAGUAAGUCCGGUUAUACAAUAAAGUUUGAAGAAGUUGUAAACGGUAAAUCCCAUGAAGGGUAAUUCCAUGAUAUGAAUAUGUAAAUCCCACAAAGGGUAGAAGAAGUUAACGGUAAAUCCCACGAAGGGUAAUCCCGUGUUUUGAGUAGGUAAAUCCCACGAAGGGUAAUCCUACAUAGAUGUUGAUUUUCAAUUGUUGAAAUUGUGAAGGCCGAUGCCAUUGUUCAAAGAAGUUGUUUUUUGGUAAAAUCCAUAAAGGGCGAUCCCGUGGUUCUAUAGUUAAGGCCAAUACCACACUAUAGUUUGUUAAUUUUCUGUUUUUGUAAAUAUUAAAGGCCUAAGCCAAGUUGAAUGAGAUUGUUGACGGUGAAUCCCACGAAGGGUAAUCCCGUAAGAAGUUGUUAUACCGGCAUGAGGGUGUGCUAUAACUACUUUAUAGAAGGUUGUUCUUGUGUAAAACUCCUGAUAGAGGCAGAGGAAUACAGGGUGUCUUUAUUUGUAAGGCAAUGGAAGAAAUUUGGACUGACAAACAGAGGUUUUUGGUCAACAGCUACAAAGAGGUCAUGGGGUACACUUGUUUGAUUCAGGGCUCUGGGAAAGCUAUAAGCUUUGGUGAUAUGAUUUGAGUAUAUGCGCUUACUCUCUGUCGUAUGGCCGUACAUCUGCUUCAAGUUGUAAGAGAUUCAUUUGGAAAUAAACCAAUGGAUGAAUCUUAUGCCAAGUCUUUUGAGCAUGCUUAUCAAAUGCUAACCGAACUACAUGCACAAUUAGUUCUAUCCCUUUUAUCCAAUAAUCCAGUUUUGCAUAAUUGUUUUGUAGUGGAGAUGGUUGUUUGGCUCGUUUUCUGCAUGGCUUGCUGUUGAAGUGUUUUUGAAGUUAGUAUUCACUGUGAUGAUGUUUGAAUAGUUGCCUUCUAUCAGAUAGUGUUAGAGAAUCUAUCUGUUGAUCAAUGGAAGAAAGAUCGUUAUUUCAAAAACCUGUGUGAGAGCAGGUCUAGUUUUUCCAGCAGAGUGAAGGAUAAUCAGGUCUUGUCUUUCUUGUUUGCAGCAGGCUAAUCCAAAGUGUUGACUCUAGUUAAAGUGCUACAUGUGGACAGAUGUUUGGGUAUCAAUCCAAUGGUGGUUUUCCUAAAUCUACAGUUUCAGUGCUACCAUGUCUCAAUUCUUCCAAUCUCAAACUGAGUUUCCCCAGUUGAGAUUGAGGGGAAGUAUUAAGGGUACAAGUGUAAUACAGUUAGAAAUAUAGUUAGUAAGGUUGUUAGUAUUUGGUUAAAAGUAGUUAGGAUUUAUCUUAUAAAAACAGUGUGUAAUCUUCAUUUUAGUCAGUUAAUCCAAAUCAUAUUUCUCUCUCUAAACUAUCUAUGUUGCUCUCUAAGAUCUCUGUGUUCAUUCUUCUUCAUCUUCCUUCUUAAUUUUCCUUUCAAUUCUCAAACAUUGCAAUGUAGUUAAUAAAGGGUAGUAAAGGAGAAUAUUGUGGUAGCAAAAAUAUGUCGUUUUCUGCCUAGACGAAUUUUUACCUACAAAACAAAUAAACACAUGUGAUCAAAGACAAAGCCCCGCGCCCAAAGAGUGAAGGUGGGGGGUGUUUGGCCAAUGAAUCUUCAAUGUCUAAGUCAGUUUCUCUGAAAAGAGAGAGGUUUAGGGCUUAAUUGUGUAGCAAAAGUUUACUAAAAUUUGGUGGAGAAUGGGGUAUUUAUAGGAGCUAGGGUCACCAUGGAGGAGAGAGAUCUCGUGCUAUGUAUCGUCAUCCAGUUGGCUAAGGUGUGUCAUUCGUUGGAUGGAGUAGGUAAAGAAUUAUCCCAAUGAUAUUAUUGAAUAAAUAAUAUCUUAGAAUUAUCUUGUGGGUCCCUGAUUGGAUUUGAUGAAAAUUUCUUGCUUGAUUAUGUAUUGUAGUCAAAUCUCAUAUUUGCACUCGAAUAUAUCAAUGUUACGCAAGUGCAAUUAAGAUAUUUGCCCUAGUUUCAUAUAAUCUGUUAGGCACUGAUAGGAACAUAUUUAUGCGACUUAGUUAGCUUGUUCUUGUGCAUUUGUGUUGUUAUUUCUUAGUUAAUUAUGUAUUUUAAGCUAUUUUCGUGUGUUUGUAGGUCAUAAUAGCAAAGUUGGCAAGAAAGUGCAUUUUGGAGCAUUUUAGAGCAUUUUUGAGCCAAGAUUGGAUAGUGCAAGCAUGGAGACAUGAGGAUGGACGUUUGUGAAGAUUUGAAGGCUAGAAAUUAGCAUGUGUGUGUGCAAGUGUGUUGACCUACAACUCCAAACAUCCAUCCACUACACCCAUUACAUCCACUCAUUACCAAACAUCCACCCACUACACCCAUUACAUCCACUCAUUACCACAACACUCACCCACUACACCCAUUACAUCCACUCAUUACCAAACACUCACCCACUACCCAUUACAUCCACUCAUUACCAAACACUCACCCACUACACCCAAUACAUCCACUCAUUACCAAACACUCAUCCACUACACCCAUUACAUCCACUCAUUAUCAAACAUUUACCCACUACACCCAUUACAUCCACUCAUUACCACAACACUCACCUACUACACCCAUUACAUCCACUCAUUACCAAACACUCACCCACUACCCAUUACAUCCACUCAUUACCAAACACUCACCCACUACACCCAAUACAUCCACUCAUUACCAAACACUCAUCCACUACACCCAUUACAUCCACUCAUUAUCAAACAUUUACCCACUACACCCAUUACAUCCACUCAUUACCACAACACUCACCUACUACACCCAUUACAUCCACUCAUUACCACAACACUCACCCACUACACCCAUUACAUCCACUCAUUACAACUCCAUACACUCCUCUCCCUAGCCUAUAAAUACAUCCACCCUUCACCAUAAUUAGGGGGCCAUCAUCCAAAGACACCACAUCAUGUACACAACUCUCCACCCUUCACCAUAACUCACCUAUAUCCAUCCACCACCACAAGAGACCAUCCAUUCACCACUCACACCUUGGUGCUGCAUAUUUGCAAGGAAAGAGGAUUGCUUGGAGUUGUGCUAGUCAUUCAAUUUGGAUUGCUGGAGCAUUCUAGGUGUAUUCUACUUUGGUUUUCAAUGUUUAAUUUCAAUUGCUUCUGUUUAAUUGCAAGUAUGAGGAACUAAACCUCUUUUGGCUAGAGGAGAAUUCGAAACCAUGAAUAUAUUUGCAAUAUGAAUUUAUUACUUCUAAUUGUGAUUUGAUAAGUUGUGAUUGCAAUUCAAUUAUCUAUUUUAUUCAUAACGGAUUUGUGUAUGUUUAUUAAGGAUGCAUACUUAGUUUUCAUGCAUGAAUUUGAUGCUAGGAUAUAAAUAAGUUUCACCUAAUCGUUACAAGUUUAUAUUCAUGAGUAGUGAAGGUUGCUUGUCACAAUCGCGUUAAUUGAAUUCUUGGCAAACGUAUCAUGCAUUCAUAGUUACAAUUGCCUCGUCAAUGCUUAUGAUUUUCAUGGAACGUAAUGAUCUUUAAUUGUCGCAUGCAUUCAUCCAAUUCAAUGAGUAAAGGAAAAUCUGAGGGUUAAUUUGUGCAUCACGGUUAAUCUGGGGUGUUGAGCAUCAUAGUUUAUUGAAAAGCAAUUGGAGAUUGAUUUGUAUGCAAGUGUGUCAUGUGUGGAGAAAGACCUUCUAGCUAGCCCAUCAUCCAUCCAAAACAACCAAUUUCGUGCAAAUCUGUUUAGUUCUAGUUUCUGUUUUGUUUUACUUUAUUUUCGUCCAAAACCCAAUCCCCAUUUACUUUAGUGUGUCUAAUUAGUUAAAAUCUGUUUUAGUUUGUGUUUUUAAGUGUUUUGAGUCUAUAAAGUGUAGUUAAGUGUUUUUAAGUUUCUUUUUGUAAGUCAGUUUAGUUUAGAUUAGCAAUCCCUCCUAAUCCCCGGUCCAGAACGAUCCCUACUUAUACAUAUACUACAAUUGUCAAAAGAGGGUUUAAUUUGAGUGCUUAACUUUCAUCGCAUCAGGCACAUUCUUUAAUUAGCUUUGGCAAAAUUCUACGAAAAUUUACGAAACCACUAUUUUCAAAGAAUUUUUUUCCACACAACAAGCUUUUUAAAAUUCUUGCUAGACAAUGUAAAGAAGUCUGGAAAUGAUAGUAAGGCCACUUUCAAAGGGCAUUAUGUUUUCCUUAUUACUGGUGUUGAUGCACAAAAUCAGUGAGGACUUUGGUACAACAGAAAAUGUCAAGUUUGUGACCUUCACUAGAUUGCUCCGGUCACUAGUGUGGAUAAAUAUGUAAAUGGAUAGAGACAGGGAAGUAAACACAAGAUGUACGUGGUUCACUUAGAUUGGCUACGUCCAUGGAGUAGAGGAGUUCUCAUUAAUUGUGAAGGGUUUACACAAGUACAUAGGUUCAAGCUCUCCUUUAGUGAGUACUCGUGAAUGAUUUAGUACAAAUGACAUUAGGAAAUAUUGUGGGAGAAUGAUCUCCUUUUAUAGAAGAGAGUUUCUAGCUUUAUUCUGACAUUGACACGUGUCGUGUUGUGAUUGGCUUCCGAUGUUGACACGUGUCGCGUUAUGAUUGGCUUCUGAUGUCGACACGUGUCGCACUGUGAUUGGCCUCCUGGUUUGAGGGAAACUAUUCUGGGUCCUUGAUGGUAUAACGUUGAUCAGUGCUCGGUAGUUUCGGGAUUGGUCAAGUAUGGUACAAACAGUGCUCCCUUAAGUUCCCGAGUGAGGGAAGCUCCUCGGUUAGGGACUUGCAAGAUCCAAGCCAUUGAGUAAUCACGAAACUUCUAAGUACCGAAGUGUGGUAUCGUCUUCACUUGCCUUAUUUGUCUUAUAGGUAGAUGUGGCAUCUUCUCCGGAAGUACUUUUCCUCCAUCCAGAUGUGGUAUCUUUAACCGGUGGAGAUGCACUAGGUAAUGUAUCAAUUUGACUUGAAGCUUACUUGUAAUUUCAAGCUUGGUCAAGCGCGAUACAAACCAUGUAGUAGGAGUCCCCCAAGUCGCCGAGCUAGGAGAUUUGCCUAAAGAGGUGACAUACAAGGUAAGCAAUCAGAGUUCCAAGCAAUCAGAAGUUUGAUUUCGAGUUCCGGCUGAUUGUUCUCAUUCUCCCUAUCUUGCAGGCAUGAAGAAGGAUAAAGAGAAGAAAAAUGAGAAGAUAUGAUAUGAGAUACUUUUGCUUUUGAAGAAGUAACUUUCCACAGGCUUAUUCUUGAACUGGGCUGGAUGGUGGUUUCCUUAAGAGUAUAAGGCCGACUCAAGAAUUUGAGGGUCAAAAUAAGUCUAUCAAAUCUAGAGUACAUUCGACCCUGAUGAUAUGGGGUACUUUUGUUGUUGACAAAGUAGUGGAUGUAUCGGCAUGUGUUCUGUUAUGCUUGUCUCCACAUGCUUCCUUGUAUCCUUCUCACUUGCCCUAUCUGUUCCUUAGGCAGAUAUGGUAUCUUUUUUGGAAGCAUAAGAUGUUGAAGAUGAGUACUCGAGAGCAAUGCCAGAUAAGUAAUCAAGCAAGGGGUUCCAGGCAGUCAGUUCCUGACUGGAAGCUUGAUUCCAAGUGUUAACUGAUUGCUCUAUUUCUCCUUGUCUUGCAGGUAAGAACAAGGGCAAAGGAAAAUACAGGGAAAAAGCAUGAUAUAAGAUACUCUUGCUUUUGACCCUGAUGAUAUGAGAUACUCUUGCUCUGGUGUGGUUGGUUUGCAUAAGUAUUAUUGGGGGGAAGAAAGCUGAGUAUUUCUAGAGGCUUUGUUGAGAGUGCCUUAUCAGAUAUGAGGAAGGGUUGAGCAUUUUUGUAGGUCUGCCUGUCCGUGGAGGAUGGAAGUCGACAUAUAUAGAAGUCUCCCUAAUAACAAGUAGUAAUGAUAUUCCUUUACCCUUCUUGGUCAUAGCAAUGUAGUGGAAGCUGCAAGCUUCACGUGUUUUAACUUUGUCAAAGCACUUUGAAAAAGUGGUCCGUGGUAUCUGGAAAGCUGAUGUUGCGUGUGAAAAUUGCAGACAAAUUUUAUCCAAGGAAAUCUGGCUCUCGAAGUUCGGAUAACAGUGCUUCUUCGGUUUUUGAAUAAGCAAUCCUGUUGGGAAUCUGGCUCUCAAGAUUCGGAGAGCGUUGCCUCUUCGAUUUUUGAACAAGCAAUCCUAUUGGGGAUCUUGCUCUCGAGAUUUAGAGAGCGAUGCCUCUUCGAUUUUUUAGAAAGCGAUCCUGGUAGGAGUCUGGCUCUCAAGAUUCGAAUAGCGGUGCCUCUUCAAUUUUUGAGAAAGUAAUCCUGGUGGGAGUCUGGCUCUCGAGAUUCAGAUGGCGGUGCCUCUUCGAUUUUUGAGAAAGCAAUCCUGGUGAGAGUCUGGCUCUCGAGAUUCGGGGAGCGGUGCCUCUUUGAUUUUUGAGAAAGUAAUCUUGUUGGGAGUGUUUUCUCGAUGUGAGUAAAGGUUGGGCAUUUUUGCCAGUCUGCCUUGCCACGGAGCACGAAGGUUGACACACAUAGGGACUUUCCAGUUAUCAAGCAGUGGUGCUGUUCCUUUACCCUUGUGGGUAAUGGUAGGGUAGCUGAACUUUCAAAAUUUAUGUGUCUAAACUUUGUCAGAGAUCUUUGGCAAAGUCAUAUGUGGUACACGAGGAGCUGAUGUUGCAUGUGAGGAUUAUAGACAUAUUUUACUCAGGAAAAUCUGCUUCUCGAAAUCCGAAGAGUGGUGCCUCUUUGAUUUUUGAACAAACGGCCUUGCUGCCCUUUCUUUUAUAGGGGCACCAAUUGUGUGCAAGAAGUACGUUCAGAGAGUUAUUGCUUGUAGGAAUUUUCCCCUUAUUUUCGUACUUCAGAGAUUUAUUGGACCUCAUUUCUCCUUCAUCAUUUCUGAAAAUGUCUGGCCCAUCCGACCGUCGUUGUGACUUGAACUUUGGUGAAGAGGCAGCCAUGCCUUCUCAAGACAACAUAUGGCCACCAUCCUUCUUAUCCCCUACCGGUCCUCUUACCGUUGGGGACUAUGUGAUGAAGAAUGAUAUGAUCGCUGCGGUGGUGGCUAGGAACCUUCUCACUCCCAAAGAUAACAGACUAUUUUCCAAACGAUCUGAUGAGUUGGCUGUUAAGGAUUCUCUGGCUUUUAGUGUUCAGUGUGCAGGUUUUGUGUCUAAUAUGGCCCAACGCCUAUUUGCUAGAACCCGUCAAGUUGAAUCAUUGGCGGCUGAAGUGAUAAGUCUCAAACAGAAGAUUAGAAAGCUCAAGCAUGAGAAUAAACAGUUGCACAGGCUCACACAUGACUAUGCUACAAACAUGAAGAGGAAGCUUGACCAGAUGCAGGAAUUUGAUGGUCAGAUUUUACUUGAUCAUAAGAGGUUUAUGGGUUUGUUCCAAAGACAUUUAUUGCCUUCUUUUUCUGAAGCUGUACCGCGUAAUGAAGCUCCAAAUGAUCAACCUCCGAUGCCUCCUCCUUCUGGGGUUCUGUCCAGCACUGAGGCACCGAAUGAUCACUCUCUGGUGCCUUCUCUUUCUGGGGCUCUGCCGACUGCUGAGACUUCUCCUGGGCAACCUUUGUGAAGGCUCCCUCUUGUUUGUUUAUUUUGAUUCAUGUAUAUGUACAUAUUUGUAACUUAUCGGAGAUAUCAAUAAAUAAGAUUUGCUUCAUUUCAACGUAUUGUGUUAAAUACACCAAAGCCUUCUUCACUAAGUUCUUUGAAGUUUUUUCUUUUGUUGAAGCUUGUAUGUUGAAGCUUUGUGAGUGAAGCAUGUAUGUUGAGGUAGUGCUCCCUUAAUUUCCCGAGUGAGGAAAACUUCUCGGUUGGAGACUUGAAAAAUCCAAGUCACUGAGUGGUCGUGAGACUUCCGAGUAUCAAGGUGCAGUAGUAUAUGGUAGGAGUCUCCCAAGUCUUCGAUCGAGAGAGUUAACGAAUGAGGCAUUUCCUUUCUAAGUAAUAGCCCAAAACUCCUCCUUCAUAUAUAUUUGUUAUGAAAGUUGUUAGGACCAAAGAAGAGGAGGCCUAGGCAAUUUUUUUUUUUUUUUGAAUUUUCGAAUUUUCGAAAAUAUAUAUAUAAGCUUUGUAGGUGAAGCUUUAAGGUUGAAGCUUUGUUGGGUACCAUGAAUUGAUUUUGCUUCACAUUAUCUUGAUCAAGAGUGUGUGAAGCUUUUGUAGGUGAAGCUUUUGUGUUGAAGCUUUGUAGGUGAAGCUUUUGUGGGUGAAGCUUUGUAGGUGAAGCUUUUGUGGGUGAAGCUUUUGUAGGUGAAGCUUUUGUGGGUGAAGCUUGUGUGGGUGAAGCUUUUGUAGGUGAGGCUUUUGUGGGUGAAGCUUUGGUGUUGAAGCUUUUGUAAGUGAAGCUUUUGUAGGUGAAACUUUUGUGGGUGAAGCUUGUGUGGGUGAGCUUUUGUAGGUGAAGCUUUGUUGGGUACCAUGAAUUGAUUUUGCUUCACACUAUCUUGAUCAAGAUAGUGUGAAGCUUUUGAGAAUUUGUAGUUGCCCUCCAUUUGUUGAAGCUUUUGUUGGUGAAGCUUUGUAGGUGAAGCUUUUGUUGGGUACCAUGAAUUGAUUUUGCUUCACACUAUCUUGAUCAAGAGUGUGUGAAGCUUUUGAGAAUUGUAGUUGCCCUCCAUUUGUUGAAGUUGUUGAAUUUCCCAAUUUCCCUUCUUAUUUUUUUUUUUUUUGGGAAAAUUUGAAAUUUGAAAAUGUGGGAGAGACAACAUAUACAAAUUUUGCUUCCACACUAUUGAGCAAGAGAUUGUGAUGCAAGCCACACCUUGUAGUAGUCGAAGGUUUGGAUGAACCAUAUAAAUUGAAUUUGCUUCAAACAGUCUUGAUCAAGAUUGUGUGAAGCUUUCUACGAGUUGUAGUUGCCCUUCAUUGAUGAAGCUUUUGUUGGCACCAUAAAUUGGUUUUGCUUCACACUGUCUUGAUCAAGAGUGUGUGAAGCUUUUGAGAAUUGUGGUUGCCCUCCAUUGAUGAAGCUCUUGUUGGCACCAUAAAUUGGUUUUGCUUCAUAUUGUCUUGAUCAAGAGUGUGUGAAGCUUUUGAGAAGCUUUUGAGAAUUGUGGUUGCCCUCCAUUGAUGAAGCUCUUGUUGGCACCAUAAAUUGGUUUUGCUUCACACUGUCUUGAUCAAGAGUCCUUUGAUGAAGCUCUUGUUACCAUAAAUUGGUUUUGCUUCACAUUGUCUUGAUCAAGAGUGUGUGAAGCUUUUGAGAAUUGUGGUUGAACUCCUUUGAUGAAGCUCUUGUUGGCACCAUAAAUUGGUUUUGUUUCACACUGUCUUGAUCAAGAGUGUGUGAAGCUUUUGAGAAUUGUGGUUGCCCUCUAUUGAUGAAGCUCUUGUUGUCAAAACGCUUUUAAUGAUCGAGUUGGAGGCAGAUUGUCUGCCCUCCCAUUACCAUGCCCUUCCCAUCCCCUCCUACAUUGUGUGGUCACGGUUAAGCCACAUCAACAUUUUAUAUUGAUUUUUUUAUAGAGAUAAUAAGCUAUGUUGACGUGGCUUAACCGUGACCGCACAAAUAGGAGGGGAUGGGAAGGGCAUGGUAAAAGAAGGGCAGACAAUUUGCCUCCGAUCGAGUUAGCAACAAAUACACUUUGAUUGAGUCGUGGUCCCGUGAUGUUGUGGAUGGUUGGAAACUUGGGAUGAGGGUGCCUUACUUUGUCGUUGUGGAGAUGAGUCAACCGUGGUUUCCUUCUUGGCUUAGUUAUUAUUGUGUAUGUUUGUGUCGCAUAGCAGUUUGUGUGGUCUUACUUUUAAGCAACGGCUCUGUGUGAUCCUCGGAUACGUCACUACUGAUCUUUGCAAUUUAAUUAAUUGUUUGCAAUGAAGAAUCAAUAGCGAUUUUAAGAGAGACUACCACGCUCCAUGAUUAGUGCCUAUCAUCUCUAGGCAAAUUCUGACCUUAACUCUUUGUCAUGAUCUCUCUCUACAUAGUUAUUUGAAAAAAAAUUAAUUCUAACUAUAACAUUUGUAUGGAGAAAAUAAAUCAAUCAUCACUAAAUAAAUAAGAAUGUGGACAACAUGUAUUUUCUCCAAUUGUUUAAAUGAUUUAAUAACAAGAACGAAACCGUUUGCAUUUUGUAUUAUAUGCCAAAAGUUGCAUUUUAAGAAAAACCCGGUACCUUAAUAACUCCAUAAGAUAACUCAUUAGAAACAAUGUUACCUACAUUUUAUUCUUCUUUUUUUUUAUAUGAAAUAAAUAGCAAUAUUGGGUUUAUUAUUGAAAAAAAUUAUAUAUACAUAAUAACAAAAUCAUUUAUAUUGAUAAAAUACAUGUAAGUAUUGUAAUCAUAUCUCAUAUUUACACUCAAGUAUAUCAAUGUUACAUAGGUGCAAUAUAAGAUAUUUACCCAAGUUUCAUCGAAAAUGUUACGCACAUGCUUUAAUUAGUUUUGGCAAAAUUCUACGAAAAUUUUACUGUAAACACGGAAAUUCCUGAAACGAAAGAGACAAGAACACGUGUACAAAAUAAUAUUUGUAUUAAUGAUUUAGGGGUUACAAUCUCUUCUACAAAUUUAUCCUCUGAUUCUAUCUUUGAAACGUGUAGAUGUAGUGUUGUUGAUCCAAGGGCCGUCGAGGCUUGAUCUUGGACGAACAGUUGAUGAAUGAUGAACACCUUCUUCAAGGGCCGUCGGGGCUUGAUCUUGAAUGGGUGGAAGUUCUUCAAGGGGCGUUGGAGCUUGAUCUUGAAGGAGGAUUUCACGAAGAACAGAUAGGGCUUUCUUGAUCCUUCGGGAUUUGCUUGAGAGCUUCAGAGUUUCGAGGCUUCAAGGCUUUGGUGUGGUGUGAUUUCUCUUCCAAUUUGGGAGUAGAGAAAGUGUAUCUAAAAUCCUCCCUUGAUUCUUUGAUGGAGGAGCCUAUUUAUAGGCUUUGGGAAUGAACCACCACCAUCCAUUUGUUUUGGUGGAUGUUGUAGGUGAAUUGGUGGAUUGUUGUAGGUGAAUUUGGGUGGAGGUUGUAGGUGAAUUUGGAUGGAUUGUUGUAGGUGAAUUUGGGUGUAUGUUGUAGGUGAAUUUGGGUAGGUGAAUUUGGGUGGAGGUUGUAGGUGAAUUUGGAUGGAUUGUUGUAGGUGAAUUUGGGUGUAUGUUGUAGGUGAAUUUGGGUAGGUGAAUUUGGGUGGAGGUUGUAGGUGAAUUUGGAUGGAUUGUUGUAGGUGAAUUUGGGUGUAUGUUGUAGGUGAAUUUGGGUGAAGGUUGUAGGUGAAUUUGGGUGAAGGUUGUAGGUGAAUUUGGAUGGAUUGUUGUAGGUGAAUUUGGGUGUAUGUUGUAGGUGAAUUUGGGUGAAGGUUGUAGUUUUAAUGCAAUGGUCAACAUUUAUUUCACUAAAAUUUCAAUGUUUACAAAUGUAAUUUUAAUGUGAUGGCUAACAUUUAUUUCAACGAAAUUUCAAUGUCUACAAAUGCCCCCACUUCAAGGCGCGUAGUAUACAUGUGCUUGCCACGUGUAGAAGAUGCGUUUUGAAGUCCCUUAAUGUAGAUGUCGAUCCAAGGGCCGUUGAGGCUUGAUCUUGAACUGGUCUGGGAGUUUCUUCAAGUGCCGUUAAGGCUUGUUCUUGAAUUUUGUUUGAAAUUUCUUCAAGGGCCGUUGAGGCUUGAUCUUGGAUGAAAUUGGACCACAAGGAGCCUCACGUAGUAGACGAUCCUUGGCUUUGAUAAUGGAUGAAUCGGCACGUAUUUUGUUGUGCUUGUUGACUUUCCACAGCUUUGAUCUUGAACUAGGCUGGAGGAGUUUUCUGGUUUCCUCCAACGGACUUUCCACAGACUUAAUCUUGAACUGGAUUUGACUCAAGGGUGGUGGACACUUGAUCUUGAGUCAGGGUCGUUGAGGCUUGAUUUCGAACUUAAACAUGACCACGAGCAGUUUCAGGACAUGCAUGCUUUGAAAGAUCAAGGAAGUUCGCAGCAUUUUCAUAUGAACCCUGAGCAGUUUGGUCAACAGUAUGAUCUUCAAGAUUGAUGGGCUCUUCUUCCAGUUGGUGACUUGAUCUUUAAGGAUUAUCGAGGCUUUGCUCUUCGGUGACGGUGCCAGCGAAGGGUUGUUAAAGCUUCUCGAGCCUUUUGGUUAGAGCAACGCUGUCCAGCUUGGAUCUUUACUUGAACUCAUCCGUCUGGAUUGUGGUGGUUAUGCAGGGAAGGGCUUCAUGCUUCAUGAUUUAUUCCAGCUCGUUGUAUUGCAUUCUUCUCUGCUUGUUUCUUUUGCGUAGCUGAAGCGGUGUGCAACCUUUUGCCUUUAAAUGGUUCUUCGGAGCACAAUCUCUCAGCGACUCACCCAUGCUUGGCAGCUUCAGUGCAAAGCGCCGAUGUUAACAGAUCCACACUCCUGAAGCAUUUGCUGAGGGGAUUCGAGACAUAUCAGCAGUUGAAGAUGAGCACUCGAGAGCAACGCUAGGUAAGUAACCAGGCAAAGGUUCCGGGCAAUCAGUUCCUGGUCGGACAUUUAAUUUCAGGUUCCGACUGAUUGCAUCCUUUCUCCUUGUUCAGCAGGCAAGAGCAAGGGCAAAGGAGAAGAUGGGGGAAGAGCAUGAUAUGAGAUACCUUUGCUUUCGACCCCAGUGAUAUGAGAUACUUUUGCUUUUGAAGAAGUAGCGGACGAUCAGCACAUGCAUUCGUCGUGCUUGUCUCCAUAUGCUUCGAUGCAUCAUCUUCAUCUGCAUCAUCUUCACCUGCAUCAUCAGGAGCUUGAGUGGAGGUUCCGACAUAUUGCUUUCUUUAUCCUUGUCUUCGCAGUGAAGAGGGAGGACAAAGAAAAGGAUAGGGAGAAAGCAUGCUAUGAGAUACUCUUGCUCUCAACCCCAAUGAUAUGAGAUACCUUUACUCUGGUGUGGCUUGGUUGAAGAGGCGUUUCUAGGGAGGAAGAAAACUGAGUUUUGGUUGCAGAUGCCCUCGGCGAGGAAGAAAGGUCAGGCUGGAUGUGUUUUCAGGGAGGAAGAAACUGAGUUUUGGUUGCAGAUGUCUUCGGCAAGGAAGAAAGGGGUCAGGCUGGAUGCGUGUCUUGCUAUGGGAUGGAGGUCGAAUUAUAUGGUGAGCUCUCAACAUCAAGUGGCAGGGCGAGCGUGGCCUUGUCACCCACGCUUGUCGGCAGAAGUGUGGUAGUUGGCAUAAUGGACCUCACGCGUUUUCAACUUUGUCAGUGAUAUCUGACAAAGUUGCACGUGAUAGCCGAAAGCUGAGAUUGUGUCUGAAAAGUGUCGACGGACUUUACGCAGGAAAAUCCGGGUUUUGAAAUUCGGAGAGUGGUGUCUCUUCGAUUUACGAACAAAUGGUUGUGCUGCCUCUCAUUUUUAAGAGGUGUCAAUUGUAUUCAACACGCAAAAUUUGAAGAUUGCCUGCCCGUGAAAAAUUAUCUCUGCUACUCUUUGCUUCAUCCAACCUUUUUCUUUUAGUAUUUUUUGAAAAUGGCUUCCCCUUUUAACAUUUGCUUAGAUUUGAGUCUUAGCAGUGACACAGGUGCAUCGCGUCAGGGUAAUGUAUGGCGCCCGUCUUUUUUUUCUUCUAAUGGCCCUCUUACAGUUGAGGACUCUGUGAUGAGGGAUGCAACCACGGCUACGGUUGUAGCUAGAAACCUCAUCACUCCUAAAGAUAAUAGGAUACUUUCACGACGGUCCGAUGAGUUAGCUGUUCAAGAGUCCCAGGCUCUCAGUGUCCAGUGUGCGAACUCUGUUUCCAACAUGGGCCAACGCUUACUUGCUCGAACUCGCCAGGUUGAAUCAUUGACAGCCGAGGUGGCGGCUCUUAGUCAAGAGAUUAGGCAGCUCAAGCGUGAGAAUGGAGAGUUGCAUGUGCUUGCAAAUAGUUAUUCGACGAGCAUGAAGAGGAAGCUUGAUCAGCUGACGAACUCCGAAGGUCGAAUUCAAAGUGACCAUCGGAAGUUUGUGGAUGUAUUCCGGAGGCACUUUUUGCCUUCGUCAUCUGGAAUUCGACCAAGUAUUGAGGCUCCGAAUAAGCUAUCUUCAGUGCCUCCCUCCUUUAGGGUUCCACCGAGUACCAAGGCUCCAAGUACUGAGGCUUCACACAAGUGACAUUCGUGAAGGCUUUUUUUUUUUUUUUUUUUUUUUUUUUUUUUUUUUUUCGUGUAAUUUCUCGGAGAUAUUAAUGGACAUGCCUUAUUUUAUUCAGUAUGUUGUGUUGAAACGCAAACAAAACGCAUAUCUGACUAAGAUGCAUUACUUCCCUAUGCACCCACUUCCUUUUAGAUGGUGACUAGUGCACCCAUUUCUUUUAGAUGGUGACUGGAAGCAUCAUUUUGUCAUCACCACCCAUUUCCUUUUCCAUUAUUGACUUGCGAAUAGUAAUACACACUCGUGAGUGGCUUGACGAUAGCACAGUUGGUUUUUUUUUUGUGGCCUUCCUCACUGCAUUGCGUUCUUCUCGCAUGCGGACCAUCUUUUCACUUGCACAAUCACCUUAUCACAAUCUUCAUUGGAUGCGGAUUGCUUUUUUACACAGUCACUGUAUCGCAUGCGGAUCACUGUUUGCACAGUCACUGCACUACAUGCAAACCGGUUUUAUUUGCAGCCUGUUGAGACCAAUAUAUAUAUACACACGCAUUCAUACACACAUGCAUACAUACAUAGGGCAUUGCGUAGUCUUUACAUAGACACUGCACCAGCUUACUGCCCUGAAUCUUAAAUGCACUCUCCUGUUUCUUUGCUGCGACGUGCUCUUCUCGUCUGCCGUGUGGUGAGCUCGGUGUUGGACAAAAAGUGGUGCAGCUUCUUCAACCCCAUCACCCUGCAGUCGGUCACGUCUAUGUUCAUCGUGUUCAUCCGAAGUCUUCACUGCGGCAGAGGAAAAGCUCACCAUCAUCAAAAUUAGGGCAGCAACAACAAACUUCAUUAUCCUGCAAGCUUCAGGGAGAGUUGCAUGAGAGUAUGAGGACGGAAGGAUGAAGGACUGCAGCAUGGUUGCUACAACCGCUCGGGCUUCCGUUUAUCGUCCUCGACGGCGCUGCAAAUGUUUCCACCAAUGGAGAAGAGGAAGGAGGGCGCUGCCUUCACUCUAUGAGGUAUGUUUUAUUGCUGAGGAAGGUUUGCCGCAUAUAUAAAUAUAUAUAUAUAUAUUUUUUAUUUUUAUUUUUUAUAUAGUGCUCUGUCAGGCUGAGGUUGCUAAACCGGCGAAGAACCUAGGAAGGCAUCAAAAGUCUGCUCUGCUUGACUCGGUCAGAGAAAGUGAAUGCGAGUGCAGGUUCGAAUGACAAGGCCGUGUUGCUUUCCCCGUCUUCAACCGCUGCAGCUUCAUUCUUGUUGCUACAGGUUCGUCUUUGCUGUGGCUUGGAGAGAGAGACGUCGCUGCAAAGGAGAGAGAGAGAAACACCACAUCUGGAUUCAGAUUUUGUGCAUCUGCAGGUCUUCCUUUCGUUUGUGGGUGACUGUGCAACUUUUAUGAGAGGAAGAAGAAGAGUCAACGGAAAAGAAGGUGUUGCGGACGAGGUCGCGUGGCUGACUUGGAGGUCCACUUGCUUCGGGUGUGCGCACCAUGUGUUGCAGGUGGGGUUUUGCUGUGUAAUGCCUUUUGGUCACAGUUUUCCCUUGGUGGUGACGUUGGCGUAGUGCUCACCUUUGUAAUAUGGCUUUGUAACCAAAUCAUUUCUUUAAAGAAAUAAAAUAUUCAUAUCUUGAAUUGCUAUUUAUUCUUCAAAGUGUUUGUGUUUUUGUUGGUGAUGUGACUGUACUUGAAGUUUUGAAGUUUCAAGUUGCCUACGUACCCCCGGUUGAUGAGGGAUCAAGUCAUAACGUAGUUCGAAUGAACGAUGAUUUUUUUUUUUUAUAGUGAUUUUGAUGAUGAUUUUGCCGUACACAGUUUAUGCUCUUGCGGGCCAGGAGCCUUGUGCCGUGUGCAGUUUAGGCUCAUGCAGGCAAGGAGUCUGGUCGUCGCUUUUUAGGGGUAGUAACGCUUCAAGAAUCUGCCAUUGAUGGGACCGAUCUUCAAGCCGUCCUCUGCCAUGAUUAAGUAGGCGCCGCUUAUGUAGACCUCUUGUAUUACAUACGGUCCAUCCCACUUUGAUGUGAACUUGCUUUUUGUCUUGUGAGUUGUGAUGAUAGGCCUUCGUAAUGCAAGGACGAGAUCUUCAGUUUGGAAAGACCUUGGGCGGACCUUCUUGUUGAAUGCCUUGGAUAGCCGUGCUUGGUAGCAUUCCAGGUGUUGUUGAGCUUCGAGCCUUCUUUCGUCAAGUGAUUCCAACUCUUGAAGGCGCAACUUUGCAUUCUCUUCAUCAGUCAAACCUUCUUGUAUAGCCAUCCUAAGUGAGGGGAUUUGACUUUCUAGCGGUAAAACAGCUUCCACGCCAUAUACGAGAGAAUAAGGGGUAGCUUGGGUAGGAGUCCUAUGCGUCGUCCUAUAUGCCCAAAGUGCUUCGCUUAUUCUUUCAUGCCAGUCCCUCUUUGUUCGGCCGAUCACCUUCUUUAAGAGGUUGCACAAUGUUUUGUUGAAUGCUUCCGCUAGACCGUUGGCCGGAGCAUGAUACAUGGAAGACUUAUGCUGCUUGAACUUGUAUUUCUCACAGAGCUCGUCUACAAGUCGGUUGGAGAACUGUUUUCCAUUGUCCGUGAUAAUGUAACGAGGCACACCAUAUCUGUGGAUGAUAUGUUCUUUGAUGAAACGGACAACAGUUUCCUUUUUUUACUUCCCUUAGGGGUAUGGCUUCAGCCCACUUGGAAAAGUAAUCUGUUGCAGCUAGGAUGUAGGCUUCUCCUGCAGAUGACUUUGGAGUAAUUGGUCCCACGACGUCCAGUCCCCAUGCAUCGAAUGGCCACGAAGCAGUUGUAGGGUGUAAUGGUUCAGGUGGUUGAUGUAUGAAGUUGGCGUGGAAUUGGCAAGCUUGGCACCUUUUGGCAUGUUCCAGGCAAUCCUUCACCAUACUUGGCCAGUAGUAACCCAUUCUUUUGAGCUGGAAAUGUAGCUUUGGUCCAGAUUGAUGCGCCCCGCACACGCCUGAGUGCGCUUCUUCCAUGGCUUGAUUGGCUUCUUCCUCACCUAGGCAUCUCAGAAGUACUCCUUCGAAAGAGCGCCGGUAGAGUGUUUCUUUGUAGUAGAGGAAGCGAGGUGCUCGUCGACGUAUUUCAGAGCGGUGUCUAGGAUCAUCAUUUGGAAGUUUUCCAUACUCUAAGUAGUCAAUCAAUGGUUGUCUCCAUUCUUCAACAUCGACUGGAAGUACCGAGAGAUGACAUUUGUAUCAUCUAGUAGCAUUUCGGUGGCGAGGGGGAUGACCCAUCUUUGGCAAACUGGCACGUCUGCCGCUUCGUCUUCUCCUAGUGUCAUACUCGAGGCUAGGUUAGCGAGAGCGUCUGCCAUUUGAUUUUCUUUUCUCGGCACAUGUUUCUAGUGUUACGGCCUCGAACUUUUGUAGCAGCUGAGUUGCCAGUCGGAAGUACGGGACGAGAUCGUCUUUUCUCACCUCAUAUUCAGUCAAGAGUUGACUAAUUAUGAGCUUGGAGUCGCCAUAUACCUCGAGGGUUGUGAUUUCCAUGUUGAUCGCCAUUUGGAGCCCGAUGAUUAGUGCUUGGUACUCAGCGACGUUGUUGGAGCACAAUUCGCUUAGUUGGAAUGAAUAAGGUAGUAUUUGCCUUUGUGGCGACAUGAAUACUACUCCUGCCCCCGCUCCGUCUGCUCGUGCAGAUCCGUCGAAGAACAUCGUCCAUCUCGGGAAUAUGUCAAUGUAGAAUACCUCCUCGUCAGGCAAGUCGUCUGAGAUUUUCCAAUCGGCUGGGAUUGGAUGAUCGGCAAGGAAGUCUGCUAAUGCUUGUCCCUUGACGGCUUUAGCUGGGACGUAAAUGAUCUCGUAUUGAUUGAGAAUCAACGCCCAUUUAGCUAGUCGCCCUGUCAAAACUGGCUUGGACAUGACGUAUUUAACCGGGUCGGCUUUAGCAACCAAGUGGAUGGUGUAAGCAUGCAUGUAAUGUCUAAGCUUCUGGAUGGCAAACACCAAGGCAAGGCACAUUUUUUCUAUUGGGGAGUAGUUCAACUCAGCGCCGGUGAGUGUUCGACUCAAGUAGUAAAGCGCUCCUUCUUUCUGGAAUUCAUUUUCCUGUGCCAAGAGUGCUCCCACUGAACUUUCCUGAGCGGCGAUGUACAAUAUGAGUGGUUUCCCGGGCACAGGCGCCCCCAGGACAGGUGGACUUGAUAAAUAUUUUUUUAUGCUUUCAAAAGCGUUGUGGCACGCUUCGUCCCAUACGAACGGGACAUCCUUUUUCAUGAGUCGACUAAACGGUUGACAACGCCCUGCAAGGUUGGAGAUGAAGCGUCUGAUGAAGGCUAGUCGUCCUUGUAGGCUUUUCAGCUCGUGCAGGUUUCUUGGUUCGGGCAUGUUUCGAAUGGCCUUGAUCUUUGAUUGGUCCACUUCAAUGCCACGGUGCUUGACAACGAAGCCGAGAAACUUUCCUGAGGUGACGCCAAAUGCACAUUUUAACGGGUUCAUCUUGAGGUUGUAUUUUCGCAGCCUUUCGAACACUACUCGCAAAUCCUUCAAGUGAUCUGAUCUUUUCUUUGUUUUGACCACCACAUCGUCUACAUAACAUUCUACGUUUUUGUGUAGCAUGUCAUUGAAGAUUUUCUGCAUUGCUCGCUGAUAUGUGGCUCCAGCGUUCUUUAGACCAAAGGGCAUCACCUUGUAGCAGUAGAUACCUUUUGGAGUGCGGAAUGCUGUUAGUUCCUCAUCUUCGAGAGCCAUACGAAUUUGAUUGUAUCCAGAAGAGCCGUCCAUAAAUGACAGUGCCUCAUGGCCAGUGGUCGCGUCCACCAUGAUUUCGAUGAUCGGCAAGGGAAAGUCAUCUUUCGGGCAAGCGUCAUUGAGGUCCCGAAAGUCUACACAAACUCGUAUUUGUCCAGAUUUCUUAAGGACGAUGACGAUGUUGGAGAUCCACUUAGGGUAUUGCACCUCUCGAAUGAAGCCUGCUUCGAUUAGCUUGUCAAUCUCUACCUCAAUUUGUGGAAUGAGCUCGGAUCGAUAGCGCCUUUGAGUUUGCUUUAUUGGUCUCGUUCCGGGCUUAACUGCAAGAUGAUGUACAGCGAUGACAGGGUCAAGGCCGGGCAUUUCCUUGUAAGUCCAAGCAAAGACGUCUUUGUACUCUGAUAACAGUUGGUAAUACUCGUCUACCUCGUCCGCACUUAGCAACGCACUUACGAAGAUAGGUCUCUGCUCCUCUUUUGUGCCUAAGUUGAGUUCCUUGAGAUCAUCGACUGUGGAUUGCCCCCCAUCCUCCAGUUGUGGUGGCGCAGCAGUGACACCUUCUUCGGGGAUCUCAUCUUCUUCGCUUUCUUGGAUCGUGAUGUGGAAGACAUCUUGGAAUUCCUCUUCGGUGUCGUCCUCUUGGGCUGGUCGGCAUGAAGAUUGUCCAGUGUGGAUGAUGGUGCGCCUUCUUACUUUUAGUGGUCCAUUUGUGUCCACCUCCAAGAUUGCUUGGCGCUUCAUCCUUGAAGGAAUUGAGCUUCGAAUAUCACAUUUUUCUGCUAUUAUGACGAGCUUUUCUUCCUUUGACGUGGUCUUCCUAUUUCUAGAAAACUUCUUGUUGUCUUCAAGUCUUUCCAAAGCUGACUGACGAGGAAGAGAGCUAGUCGUGUUGCUUUGCUUCUUAGGUUUUGACAACCUUUCAAAAAACAGAGCUUUGGGAUGCUAGCAUGUUAAGUCUCUUGAAGACGGAGGUUCGGUUUUGACCACCAAUGCGGUUAAAUGCUGACAUUCUGGGUUUUGAACGAUUCAUCCUAUCGAAGACUGACGUCCAAGGGGUGGAUUUAGGCUCAUCAUGAUCUUGUUCAAUACUCACGCUGAUGUGUUGAGUGCUAGCGUUUUUCGCUUUGCUUGAAAUCUUCACGGGUGCGUUUGGUGUGAAAGCCUAGUCCAGCUUUGUUGUUAUCAAACUCCGUAACCGUGCUUCUUCAACUUCCUUUGAGUCUCGGUGAGGUCACGUUCUUUAUUGUUAACGGUGUUUGAAACCUUCUUUCCAUGAUUCGAAGAAGAAGCAAAGUCGUAGCCAGCUUUCGACAUGAGUUUAUAGGCGUUUGGAUCAAAACCUUCUUCGGUCCUCUGGGUUGGGAGAAAGCUUGGUUCCACCCCCUUUGGUAGAGCUUUUAUGAAGCCUUGUGGUAGUCUUGCGACCUUAGUGCCGCCUAGCUGUGUCAGAGGUAAAACUGCAUUCGUCUUGAGCAUCUUUACAUUAUCCAUAUACCUCUGUGCAUCGGCUUUGUUUGCUCCAGUUUCGAACGGGGAUUGACCAUUCUUUCUUCUCGACAUCGGGAUGUAUCGGAAGACGGGUGUGUUUGGUCCAUUUGAGGGCGUCUUACUCUCCUUUGUUGUUGCACGUUUAGCCAGCUCAUUAUCGUUCUUGCUUGAAGACGGCGUAACUUCUUCUUCUUGCUUCUUGGGCAUGGCUUGUCGUUCCUGCUUUUUAGGUGUUGCUUUGCCCGUGGAUUUGAUCUCUUUUGGAAGAGCUUCGGGCACCAUGUCUUCAUCCAUGUAGAACUUGGCGUCUGCGAAAUGUGAUUCGGCUUCAGUGAAUGGUUUGGUGUCGCCAUAGAUCACCUUCACUCCUUCUCGGUAGAAUUUUAAGCAUUGGUGAAGGGUGGACGGUACUACUCCAUUCGCAUGGAUCCAAGGCCUUCCUAAGAGUAAGCCGUAGGAAGUUCUUGCAUCAAUCACGUGGAAUAUCGUGCUCGACUUGAGUUCGCCAAUAGUCAUCUCCACUCGGAUCAUGCCCAUCGCUCUUUGUCCUCCUUGAUUAAAACCUUGGAUUAGUAGACGACUUAGGGACAGUUCAUCCGCCUUGAUGCCGAUUGUAAUCAUUGUCGACUUUGGCAUGAUGUUUAUGGCUGAUCCACCAUCCACAAGCAUGCGGUUGACUUUGUGCCCCUUUACAUACCCAGAGACGAAGAGAGGACGGUUGUGAGGCUUGGAUCCUAGCAGCAAGUCUUCGUCGGUGAAAUGGAUUGCGUCCUCUAUGGCACAAACAUGUGGCACAUUCAUGUGGCCGAAGCUUCAAGUCUUCGUUCUUGCUUUCUUGCACUUCAUGUUCAUUGGGACUUUCCAAGGCCGCUGCUAAUGCUAUUCGCAUCUUCUUUGGUAAUCGUAGCGCUUCCUCAAUGCUAAAGUGUGUUGGCAGACCUUCUUCGAGCGUGAGAGUUUUUUCUCCCUCAGUGGUGGUAUCUUUGCUUUUUGAAGGUUCUUCCGUUUCUACUUCGACCAUAUGGCAUGCAGCGAUGGUGCACUGUUGGAAGAAGUCAUUCGGGAAGUACUCGCGCAAGGAGACAGGAAUGCGUGGCUCUUGCUCCACGGGUUCCCCAGCAUACGUUGGCUUAUCGACUUUUACGUUUUCUUUAGGCUUCCUACUGUUGCGGCGACGGUGUUUUCUCACUUGUUCCACCUUUGGUCUUGUGGCUUGUGGUUUUGGUUUCCUUGUUUUUUUGUAGGUCACCAAUGUCCAUCCUUCAUCAUCAUCGGUAUACGCAUCUUGUUCGUUUGCCCCCGGCGAUGGUUGUGUAGAAGGCGCCGUGUAGCUUGCACAUUGAUAGGAAUGGUUGGGUGUCGUUUGGAGAGGCACGGGAUCGAAGGAUCCGAACGCCACUGUAGUAGUAUGUGUUGCGGCUGUGUCCUCAAGGUCUAGCUCGAUUCUCCCUUGUUGCGCUAGCUUCAUAAUGAGUUCUUUGAGGACGAAGCAUUUGCCCACAUGAUGGCUUACGAUACGAUGGUACUUGCAGUACCUAGGAUCGUUCGUUCGAUUCAUUUCUUCAGGGCGCUUGCACUCUGGUAACUCAAUUACCUUCUUUUCCAGCAAGUCAUCUAACAUUGCAUCCACGUCUGAGUCAGGAAAAGGGUACGUCUUUUGCUCCAACUCUCUCAAGGUGUUUUUAUACUUGUCUUGGGUGCGAGGAGGCUCACUUCUUUUUGUCUCCUUUGCCUUGGUCUUGGAGGAAAUCUUGAUAGGUGCAGAGGUGGUCUUGAUAGGCGCGGAUGGGGUUUUGAUGGGGGUAGUGUUGACAGUAAAAGUUUCCUUUGCAGGCUUUUUUCCGGUCUUGUCCACACUCGGGGCGAACACCUUAUCCUUCUUGAAGUGGGUGAUCGGCUCAUUCUUUCCGUGAUUGGCGAUACUCAGCUCCAUGUCGUGGGAGCGCGUUGCCAGCUCCUCAAACGUUCUUGGUUUUAUGCCUUGGAGAAUGUAAUGUAACCCCCAGUGCAUGCCUUGAACACACAUCUCAAUGGCAGAGGUUUCAGAGAGCCGAUCUUUGCAAUCCAGACUUAAUGAACGCCAUCUAUUGAUGUAGUCGACGACGGGUUCCUCCUUCCACUGUUUCGUACUGGUCAGCUCCAGCAUGCUUACGGUGCGGCGCGUGCUGUAGAAACGGUUGAGGAAUUCCUUUUCUAGCUGAUCCCAACUGCUGAUAGACUCGGGCUCGAGGUCGGUGUACCAGUCAAAGGCGUUGCUUUUCAGCGAGCGCACGAACUGCUUGACGAGGUAGUCUCCCUCUGUUCCAGCAUUGCUGCAGGUUUCAAUGAAGUGGGCGAUAUGUUGCUUCGGGUUCCCCUUUCCAUCGAACUGCAUAAACUUUGGUGGUUGAUAGCCCUUUGGCAUCUUCAAAGCGUCAAUCUUCUUGGAGUAGGGCUUUGAGUAUAGUACGGAAUCAUGUGAGCUUCCUUCAUACUGCGCCUUGAUGGUGUUGGCGAUCAUCUCCUGCAGCUGCUGGAUAGAGAGAGACCCCAUAAGUGUCGCCGCUUGGUCUAGCUUCAGCGUCUCUUCGACGUUCUCCACUGGAGGUUCCUCAUCCUCGUCGUUUUCCUUCUUUACCGGAUUAUCCCCUUGCCUGGCUUUCUCAUCGGGCUUUGCAUCUAGUUGGUUAACAAGUGCUGCGAUUUGCAGGUCUUUUUCCUCCACAGUCCUUGUGAGCUUUGCGAUUGCUUCGUUCAUCUGAGCCAGCUGCUCCUCAAUUGAAGUUGUUCCGGUAACCAUGACUUGCAUAGCUAUGCCGCUGCUCGAGUCGGCAUCGGAAAGUAAGGAUUCAGAGUACUUCCUCUGGCUUUCCUCUCUUGGCGCCCUGAGCGAGGCCAGGGUGAUCACCGGUUCGAACCUCGGGUGCUCUUGUGCCUUCGGCGGAGUUGAUGAAGGGGCGAAAGAGGCGGCGGAAAGAGCUUUUGCCUUACUUCGAGUUAUGAUGCCUGAAGUGAUGCCCCCUGUCGUGAUGACGCUCUUGUUUCUUGCAUUGGCAGCGAGAACAACUUGGGCCUUCCUUGACGCCAUUUGUGCUUGUUGCGGAUUCAAAGAUAGAGAUGAGAGGUAGAGACUGUCCCACCGAGCGUGCCAAAUUUGUAAACACGGAAAUUCCUGAAACGAAAGAGACAAGAACACGUGUACAAAAUAAUAUUUGUAUUAAUGAUUUAGGGGUUACAAUCUCUUCUACAAAUUUAUCCUCUGAUUCUAUCUUUGAAACGUGUAGAUGUAGUGUUGUUGAUCCAAGGGCCGUCGAGGCUUGAUCUUGGACGAACAGUUGAUGAAUGAUGAACACCUUCUUCAAGGGCCGUCGGGGCUUGAUCUUGAAUGGGUGGAAGUUCUUCAAGGGGCGUUGGAGCUUGAUCUUGAAGGAGGAUUUCACGAAGAACAGAUAGGGCUUUCUUGAUCCUUCGGGAUUUGCUUGAGAGCUUCAGAGUUUCGAGGCUUCAAGGCUUUGGUGUGGUGUGAUUUCUCUUCCAAUUUGGGAGUAGAGAAAGUGUAUCUAAAAUCCUCCCUUGAUUCUUUGAUGGAGGAGCCUAUUUAUAGGCUUUGGGAAUGAACCACCACCAUCCAUUUGUUUUGGUGGAUGUUGUAGGUGAAUUGGUGGAUUGUUGUAGGUGAAUUUGGGUGGAGGUUGUAGGUGAAUUUGGAUGGAUUGUUGUAGGUGAAUUUGGGUGUAUGUUGUAGGUGAAUUUGGGUAGGUGAAUUUGGGUGGAGGUUGUAGGUGAAUUUGGAUGGAUUGUUGUAGGUGAAUUUGGGUGUAUGUUGUAGGUGAAUUUGGGUAGGUGAAUUUGGGUGGAGGUUGUAGGUGAAUUUGGAUGGAUUGUUGUAGGUGAAUUUGGGUGUAUGUUGUAGGUGAAUUUGGGUGAAGGUUGUAGGUGAAUUUGGGUGAAGGUUGUAGGUGAAUUUGGAUGGAUUGUUGUAGGUGAAUUUGGGUGUAUGUUGUAGGUGAAUUUGGGUGAAGGUUGUAGUUUUAAUGCAAUGGUCAACAUUUAUUUCACUAAAAUUUCAAUGUUUACAAAUGUAAUUUUAAUGUGAUGGCUAACAUUUAUUUCAACGAAAUUUCAAUGUCUACAUUUACAAAACCACUUUUUUCGCAGAAUUUUUUCCACACCACAAGCUUGUUAAAAUUCUUGCUAAACAAUGUAAAGAAGUUUGGAAACGAUACUAAUUAAGGUUUCCUUACUGGCUUUACAAAUUGCAUUUUUCACCAAAAUUGUUGCUCACGUUUAUUAAUCGAUUUUUCUAAAUAAAAAAACAACAAUUCAUUUUAGAACUAAGCCGAUCUGUUUACACAUGUGUAUGUGUAAACUCCAUAUAGUCAACACACAGACAAUGUUUCAUACGUUAUCUUGAACUAGCAUCUUGUCACAUGCAUACGCAUGCGACAAUUUGCCUUUGUAUGUUAAAUUAAAGUUUUAUUAUGAUUUUUUACAUAAUAAAUUAAGAAAUUCAAUUUUUGUUAUUUAUAUAUUUUUAUUAAUAAUAUUUUUGAAAAUAAAUUAGAAGUUAAACAUAAACCGUGGGGUUUUGCUAUUUUUUUCUUUCUAAAGUUUAAAAUUUUAAAUUCGUUCAAAAUUAAUAUUUGUUGAAUUAUUUUAACUCCUUUUAAUUCAAUAGUAAUUUAAAAAAAUUUAGAGGCAAUUUAUGGUAUUUUGAAAAGGAAAACUAAUGAAAAUGACUUGAAAACUUUGAAUUUUAAUGAUAAUGACAAAAUAAAGAGUAAAAUGAAUAGUAUCAAGAUUGACUUUUUUGUGUAAAAAUGUGGUUUUUCGUUAAAGUAAACAGUACCGAGAGCUUUUCGUUAGUUCCCAUUUUGAAAUUAACCUGCAUGCAUGCAGUUUGACUACUUUGGCCUCCCAGCCAUUCGGUUCUUGUCCAUUUUUUCCACCCUGUUAUGAAAGUGAAAUAUACCUAUACUGUACUACGAGAACAUGAGACAUGCAGUGUUACUUUCAACAGGUGGCACGCCUUGCUACCUCACACUUAUCCUCCUUGAUCAAUCCAUAUCUACACAUUCAAUCAACUCUUGUGCAUUACGUACGUCGCUAUGCUUUUUCAAAAGUCUCUCUCAAUUUCAUAAAAAUUGCAGAGCUGGGUGUAGCUACAUAAGCUGCAAAAGCACAAAUAGAAAUAUUAUUGCUUAUAUAAAAGAAUUCAUACAACUUUGUUUUUUUUUUUUUUUUUUGCGACCAUUCGGUUAAAUUUUGUUUUGCAUGUAUUAGGGUAAAGGGAGUGUGAUAUUCUCUCCUUCUAAUCUCUCUCCCCUUCCUUCCCAUCCUAUUUGAAUAGUUAUGAUUAAAUCACAUCAACAUCUUAUAUUGAUUUCCUUAUAGAGAGAGAAAGACAAAGAUGAAAGGAAAAUGGGGAGGCACUAGAAGAAAAAAGCUCAUCUAUCACGGUGAAUACCCGUGAUAAAUUGCAAUCUACCACGGACACUGUGCCCGUUAGUAUUCUGGAUGUGAUAAAAAGUCUCAGUUUCUACCACAGGCUAUGUCCGUUGUCAAAUGCAAUAUAACCACGGAUUGUACCCGUGGUAGAUUGAGAUCUAACACCACAUGCUAUGACCGUUGUCGAUUACUAAUUGACCACAUCUAAUGCCCGUUAUAAAUUAUUUUCCAAAAUUAAAAAAAAUAUAUUUAACAAAUAUAUAUAUAUAUAUUGAUUUAUUUAUUUAUAUAUUUUAGUACAGAAUAAUCAACAAAAUUGCAUAUUUACUACAAUAUAAUAAUUACAUAAAAAAAUACUUGAUAAUAUUAUAACAUAAUUUAAAAAUACUUGAGUUUCCAAAUGAAUACAUAAACAACAAAAGUCAUAAAGUACUAUCCAUGUAGUGCCUAAUGAAUACAUAAACAACGGAAGUCAUAAAAUACUAUCCAUGUAGUGCCAAAGUACCAUUUUCUAGUCUAAGUACGAACUAAAAUUACUCUCCAACUCAGACGUACUUUGAUGGCCAGGCAAUUGUACUAGAUAUAGCAUCCUCCACGACACGAAAUUCACUUGUAGGGCGGUACAAAGAUAUAUUCUCCACUCUUACCCAAACUUUCCAUCAAUCAGGAUCAAGCACCAUGUGAUGAACUUUCACCUCAGGAUUUGUUGAUUCUAUUUCUCCAGUUGCAACAACUUGUCUAUUUCCGAGCCAAUUUAGUAACUUGCAUGAAGACCCUCGUAAAAUACCAACAGGUUUAACUAGCAUAAAGAAACCAAAUAAGAACAUCAAUUUCAAAUGAUUAAGUUAUCAAACUAUUUAACAAUUAUUAUCAAGCGUGUGUUACUACCUGAGAAGUGGCUUUAGACCUUUCUUUUCUCUUAAUGCUGUCUCUUUCUAUGUUUGGACUACUUCUCUGUGACAAUCGAACAUGGAAGACACAAAAUUCGAACAACUUAUAUCAAAAUAUCAUAAGUUUCAUAAGCUAACUAUUUAGUACUUGUUCUCGUAUACUUGGGAACUAGCUUUGGAAGCUUGUCUAGAAGCAUCGUCAGCUUCUCGUGCACUUCUUCUAUCACAUUGUAUCUAAUAACAAAACAAAAACAGUUGAAUUAUCAACAUCUGCUAUGUCUUAAUAUAUUAAUUUGUACACAGGAAUGGCCUCACAAAACAAAAAUAAUUUAAUUAUCUAAUAACAAAACAGAAAUUUGCUCUGCCGCCGAUGGAGCCACAAAGAAGGAAAUUGGCCGAGCAAAAGAAUACAUAUUGAAACAACUGGGAUUAGAGAAUGGUUAGUGGAGAUGCAAACAAUACAUGCUGGGGACUUUAUGGUGAAAUUUUUUUUGUGAAAAAGGUAGAGAAAUUCAUACAAAAAGACACAUAGAAACCAUCUUCUUAGCAAUCAAUAUUAUAUAAAAAAAAAAAGUGAACAAGCAUUUUCUUUACAAUGUUUACACUAGUAUAGUCGAAUUUGCAGUUUCAAUUGAUCGAAGUAUUACUACUGCAUAUCUUUUUUCCUUAUAUAUAACUGGUUCGUGCUCUGUGUGUGUGUGUAUAUAUAUAUAUAUAUGCACGUGUAUAAAUAGAGUAAAGCAGAACGUAAACUUCAUGGGCAAGUCAUCAAAAUCUGAACAAAUAGUUUUCAAUUCAACAACCACAAAUUCAAAAAGCAUUCCAGCCGAUGGCUACAUACCCCAAUCGCAAUCAUGCAUAUACAAAUCACAAAUUCAAAACCCUAGCUCCCAAAUUAACCAGCUCAAAAUCUGAACGAAAAUUGAAUUAAUUUAAAUUAAAACCUGCUAAGAAUAGGAGUGCUGACCCUCGCAAACAGGGCUUUCAUCGAAGUUCUUAGAGGGGUACUUGGCGGAGACCAUGCCGACCUCGAACACCAAGUUGUCGCCGCUCGACCGGAUUCCCGUGAUCGACCACCACUGGAAGAAGGCCCGGACGCUGAUGCCGUUGAUCUUGGCGAUUUAUGACGAUUCGAAGAUGAGGGGGAAGGGUGGAUGGAUGACGAGUCGAUGAGGAGAAGAGAUGAGGGUUUGGUGGGUUGGUGCAGAGGAGUGGAGGGAUAUGGGAAGGUGGGGGAGAUAGAGGACGAUAAAAAAGGAUUGACGGUUUCUUUUUAGGGUUUUCGUCCAGUUUCACGUGAGGGGAAAAUAAUUGGGAUUUUAGAUUUUAAUAUCUUUCAAAAUAUUAAAAAAAAACAAAAAAACAUCCACCACGGGCCAAGGGCGUGGUGAAUUGUCAAAAGGUGGUGUGUGGUCGUUUGAAGUAACCACUACGAGCAUAUCGCGUGGUGGUUUUGAUAUUCCAUUAUGGGAAUAAAAACCGUUGUAAAUUAUUCACUUUUAACAACGGGCCAGAACUUGACCGUGGUGGAUUAAUGUUAUCUACCAUGAGCUACACUCGACCGUGGUAAUGAAAUAGUUUCUACCACGAACUGUUGAUGCCCGUGAUGGAAUUGAUGUGGUAAAUAUGAUGUUAUGUACUUGUGAGGAUUAGGGCGGGAAAAGAAUCGUAGUCCAAGGUAAAGAACUCAUUCACAUGCAAGAUUCGACUCCAUUAUUAAUCAGCCGUUGGAUCUUGAACUCUCUAUAAGUAUUAAACAAAAUGAGUCCAUCUAUCUCACCCAAAAAUCAAUAAAAAAUGAUUCCUUCAGAAAUAGCCAUCCUAAUCCUUGUAUUCCUUACCUUCCUGUGGUCUAUCCUCUGCAUCCUAAUCAAUGCCUUCUCAAGGCAAAGCCGAAAACUACCUCCUGGCCCUAGGGAACUACCAAUCAUUGGCAAUCAUUGGCAAUCUUCAAGUUUUAUUGUUUUUUACUCUCUUAAUCAUCAAGUUUUAUUGCUAUUCACUUUCAAGGCAAAGCCAAAAACUACCUCCUAGCCCUAGGGCACUAACAAUUUUUUACUCUCCUCACCAUAUAAUAAUUCAACAACGCCAAGUGAUUCUCUUGUGUCUUUUCUAAAAUCAACAAACACUAGUGAAUCAAAUUUUAGAAUAACCUAGUUUAACAAUAAAUUAUUGAAAAAGAAAAUUUAAAUUCAAAGUUAUGGUUACCUCAAAUUACAAUCUUCAGGACCAAGUGAUAGUUGCUUAAACAUUCAAUAGAAAUAGAAAGACUGGGAAGUUAAAAGAAAAAUGAUUACAAAAUUAUGAUUAUUUUGGUUUUUGUUAUUUUUUUAGGUUAUUUUCAAAAGCAAAAGAAAAAAAUGCAUUUGGAUAUAUUAAGGCCAUUAAUUUCAGUAGCUUCUUGUCACACACGUGGGUGUGUGACAAUUGACCUUUGUAUGUUUUUUAUUUAAGAAACUCAAGUUUUUUCUAUUUAUACAAUUUUUAUUUAAAAUAUUUUUGAAAAUAAAUAAGAAUUUAAACAUAAACCACCCACUAACAUGAGGUUUUGUUAUUUUUUUUCUAAAGUUGAAAAUUUUAAAUUCAUUCAAAAUUAAUAUUUAUUGAAUUAUUUUAGCUCCUUUUGAUUUUUGAUUUUAAAAUUUUUUAGGAGCAAUUUAUCUUUAAUUUUAAUCUUUAAUUUCAUAGAUUUGAAUUUUAACUCCUUUUGAUUCUUGUAAUUUUAAAAUUUUUUAAGAGCAAUUUAUCUUUAAUUUUAAUCAUUAAUUUCAUAGAUUUGAAAAAAGCAAAAACUAAUGCCUACAAGGUGUUUCGAACUGCCCACCCCAAUGAAAACGGAGUGGAACCGUUUCCACUGCACCAACGAAAUAAUUGUAAUGUUUCUUAUGUUUCCACUGCACCAACGAAAUAAUUGGGGGCCCUAGACGACCGCCUACCUCGGCUACCCUCAAGGCCGGCCCUGACUAGAACAAGACAUGUUACUUUCAAAAGAUGGCACACGUAUCCUCAUGUUGUCCAUAUCCAUCCAUAUUCAAUCAACUCUUGUGCAUUCUUCUUCAAAAUUCUCUCUCAAUUUCAUGAAAAUUACAGAAGUAGGAGGGUAAAGGGAGUAGAAUUUUAUCCCCUCUUUAUCUCUCUUUCUUUCCCUUCUUUCUAAUUUGAACAGUUUACAAUUAAACCAUGUCAACAUCUUUUAUUGACUUCUUUAUAGAUAGAGAAAGACAAAUAAAAAAGUGUGAGAGAAUGAAAGAAAAAAAUGGAAGGAAUUAGGAGUGGAGACAAUCCUAAUAGAGGUUAAAGAACUCAUUUUCCACAUGCUGGCAUUGGGUAAUAUAUCAAUCAGUUGUUGGAUCUUGAACUCUCUAUAAGUAUCAAACAAAAUGAGUCUACAUGUAUAUAUAUGUGUGUGUGUGUCUAAUGUCCCAUUUAUCGAUCUCACCCAGAAAUCAUAUAAAAUGAGUCCUUCAGAAAUAGCCAUCCUCAUCCUUGUAUUCCUCACAUUCCUAUGGUCUCUCCUCCGCCUAAUCAAUGCCUCCUCAAGGCAAAGCCGAAACUGCCUCCUGGCCCUACGGCACUACCAAUCAUUGGCAAUCUUCAUAUGCUAGGCAACCUCCCACACCGUAGCCUCCAAAACCUGGCAAAAAAAUAUGGACCUAUAAUGUCCAUGCGUCUAGGGUUCAUACCAACCAUAGUGGUCUCAUCUCCCAAAACAGCAAAGCUAUUCCUCAAAACCCACGACAACAUUUUCGCUAGCUGCCCCAAACUCCAAGCCUCCGAGUACAUGGCCUACGGCACGAAGGCCAUGGCCUUUACUGAAUAUGGCCCAUAUUGGCACCGUAUUCGGAAACUCUACACGCUUCAACUUCUUUGUCCCUCGAAAAUCGAGGGUUUUGCUCCGCUAAGAAGGGAGGAGGUAGGGUUGUUGGUGCAGUCCCUGAAGGUAGCUGCGGAGGCGGGCGAGGUGGUGGAUUUUAGUGAGAAGGUCGGUGAGCUUGUUGAGGGAAUCACGUAUAGGAUGGUGUUGGGGAGAAAAAAUGAUGAUAUGUUUGAUCUCAAGGGGAUUAUUGAGGAAGCCCUAUUCUUGACAGGAGCUUUCAACAUUAGUGAUUAUGUGCCUUUCCUUAGUCCACUUGAUCUUCAGGUAUGUUACCCUUCAUUCUUAAAUACAAACUUGAUAGAUGAAUCAAUAAUAAAACUAGCGAAAUGCUAGGAACACCGUAAAGUAGGGACAUUUAUAAUCAUUGCACACACGCUAUUGCUAAGCACAAAUACAAAGUAGAGGCGUUGCAAAUAAGUGCACACACGUAUGGCAACUGAUUUUAGCACUACUCUUCUAAAAAUAUUUAAACUCUAUUAUUUAGAUGACGUAUUUAGAUGACGUAUGUCAACAAAUAAAGUGAACGAGAUUAAUUCAUAGUUUAGGGAAACCGAGCUCUUUUGGAUGUGCUCUUAAAAUGACUUAAAGUGUUUUUGGUAAAAUUAUUUUUAGAAACAAUCCUUAAUAAAAAUGCUAGCAAAUCUUGGAAAAACACUUAAAUGCUUUCUGGAAGAAGCAAAUAUAACUAGUGCUUCUUGUAGAAAGCACUUCAAAUAUUACUUUUAGAAUCCAAAAACAUUUUUUCUAAAAACGCUUUCAGUCAUUUUAAAAAGUAUAUCCAAACACAGCGAGUAACUAGUUCACAUUCGUACAAAUUAAUCUGAGAGGAAUAUCUGUUUACUUUAGCGAGCUCACUUAUCGUCUUUUUGCUGGUGAUAUGAUUCACAAAGUCAAAGCAUCCACAAAUUGUAAAUGCAAAAUCAUAUGAUUCAUAUCGUAUGGUCCAUUCCAUAGCCUGCUGACGAUAAACUAUCUCCUAAUUAGAGAUGUAAAAAUAUAUUUACAUCUCAUCUCAUUUUAUAGUUUCAAGAGGGGUAGAUGGGAGUUCUAUGCUAAUGAGAGUGAUGUAAAUUUGAGCUUUUAUUUAAUUUUCUCUCUUAGAGUAGCGGAGUCCACCAUACAAAAAAUAUACAUCUAUAUAUAUAUAUAAGUUCUUAUUUAUAUUUUCCAAUCAAUAUUUUCCAUCUUUCUGACCAACUUAAAGUAUUAAAUACAAAUUAUAUACAUCCAUAUAUAUAUAAGUUCUUAUUUAUAUUUUCCAAUCAAUAUUUUACAUCUUUCUGACCAACUUAAAGUAUUAAAUACAAAUUGCUCCCUAUCUUAUGCAUUUGGUUGCCAAUGGCAUCCGGGAUAUUAUUACAAUAGCAAUGGAUUUAAUGCAUAAUUCAUUAUUUUAGGAACCUUAAUUUCUGCAAUCAACUAUACAAAUUUAAAAUAUAUUCAACAUGCUCUUUAAGGGAAGAUCUCCAUUUAAAAAAAAAAAUAGUUGUAGGUCUCACUUCACAUCGAACUUCAAUAAUAAGAAUUGUCUAUAUUUUGUCUCUAUUCAUAGGUCAUUCUUGCAAAAAAAUCAAUUCAAUCCAAAAUCAUUUGGUCAUUUGAUUGUCACGAUGAAAUUUUAAUAUAUGUUUCUUAUAACAUAAUGUUCAUCAAUGUCUUGGAGCUCAAUUAGAUUAAUUGAUGCCUCAAACAUUUUUUAUUUGGCUAAUUUUGCAAGAAUGAUUUAAGAGGUACAACUUGAAAAUAGACAAUUAAGAUAUCAUUGAAGUUCAAUGUAGUAUAGACUCCACAACUAAUCUAAAAAUGAGAAUCCCUUCCCUUAAAAGCAUAUGUUACAUGUAUGUGUUUUUUUUUUCUUAUCCUUCAUAAAGGAUGUAAUACUAAUACUAAGGAUUUUAUUUUACCAUUGAAAAUGAGGAUUUUACAAAAAUUCAAAAGAUAAAAUGCUAGUAAAUAUGUAGAUAUAGAUUUUGAGGCCUUACGUAGUGGGUAAAAUUGAGUUUAAGUCCAAUUUUAUAAGAAUCAAACUCCUAGGGCGGAAAAUUUGCAUUUUACAUGAGUGACUCCGAUUAUUGAGUUUAAUAAUUACUAAUGACUUUAAUUCCAAUAAAUGAUCAACCAUUUGACAGAGAAAAAUAGAGAUUAAUACAUAAAAUAAGGAAAAAAAAGUCCAAUAAUAUUAUAGGAAUCAAACUCAACGUACAUGAUUAUAUAUAGGAAUGAAACUAAACAAAACUAACGUUUCUCUCUGUAAUUGUUCUUUCAUCUCAGAAAAAAGGGUUGCACAUGAUCCCUUAUACCCAUGUGAGAGUGUCACCGUAUGUGCACAUGAUCCCUUAUACCCAUGUGAGAGUGUCACCGUAUGUGCCUAUCCUCACCCAAAAGUUACUCCAAAAAUACAAGAUGUAAUAGCUUUUAUAUAUGCAUUCAUGUCUUGUCCAUUUCAUUGUCUAAUAAAAAUGAUAGCUACAGUACUCAACUAGAAGUACAUAUGAUUGAUUGAUUGUAUGGAAUCUUAACUAUUUCUUCCACUUAGGGAUUGACCAAGCGCAUGAAGAGAGUUAGCAAAACUGUCGACCAACUACUCGAAAAGAUAAUUAAGGAUCAUGAACAAGUUUCCAGAAGUGAGGUACAAGGCAAUCAUCAUAAGGACUUUGUAGACGUGCUGCUUUCAUCAAUCCACCAACCAUUAAACCCCAACGAUGAGGAAGUCUACAUGCUCGAGCGAACAAAUGCCAAAGCCAUUUUACUCGACAUGAUUGCGGGUGCCUUUGACACCUCAGCCACGGCGAUUGUCUGGACCCUGGCAGAACUCUUGAGGCACCCGAAAGUAAUGAAACGUCUCCAAGAAGAGCUCCAGAGUGUGAUCGGGAUGGAUCGAAUGGUGGAAGAAAGUGAUUUGCCAAAGCUGGAUUACUUGAGCAUGGUGGUCAAGGAGAGCUUAAGGCUAAACCCAGUUGCCCCAUUACUAGUCCCUCAUCAAUCCAUGGAGGACAUUACGGUUGAUGGAUAUCACAUACCCAAGAAAUCAAGAGUCUUUAUCAAUAUUUGGACCAUUGGGAGGGAUCCAAGUGUAUGGUCAGAUAAUGUGGAAGAAUUCUACCCUGAAAAGUUUAUGAAUAAUAACGUUGACCUACGUGGACAUGACUUCCAGCUCAUACCAUUUGGGUCUGGUCGAAGAGGGUGCCCUGCUAUGCAAUUAGGGUUAACCACAGUUCGUCCUGUUCUGGGAAACUUGUUGCACUGCUUCAACUGGGAGCUCCCUAGUGGAAUGCUACCUAAAGACUUGGACAUGACUGAGAAAUUCGGCUUAUCGUUGUCGAAAGCCAAACACUUGCUUGCCAUGUCGACCUGUCGCCUGUACAAUGGAAGUUGAUGAUUGGUUUAUUACUUAAGCGUUGAUAGAUGUACUUAUUUCUAUUGGUCACACAUCAUUUAGUUUACAAUUUUAAUCUCUAAAUUUAGUUUCUGUAGCAUUACUCCCUUAAUAUAUAUAUAUAUAUAUAUAUAUAUAUAUAUAUAUAGUAUGUCUAGGCAUAAAUAAACAUUAAUUAACCGUAUAAUUUAGAUUAAUGCAAGUGUCUUGUAGCUCAAUUGAUUAAAAAUAUUAUUCCUUGCCCUUGAGGUCGCUUGUUCGAUUUUCCCUCCCGUAAAAAAUAAUUUGCUUGUCAUCAUGCCCACCUACGUACGUACCGCCUAAACGGUCAACCUUAGUAAGGGGUUGAAAUAAAUGUCUUGUAGUUAUAAUAGUGUUCCUUUGAGUAAUGUUAGAGAGACUAAAUUUGUAGACUAAUUUGCAAACUAAAUGAAAUGUCACAAAUAGGAAAUGAAUAUGUUUAUCAACGUUUAAAUGAUAAUCCAAUUAUCAACUUCCAUAUCAUUUAAUUUACAAAAUUUAAUCUGCCUAUCAUUACUCGUGUUCCUUUUGCCACCUCUGACUAGGAAAGAUUAAAAUAAUUACAUCGUUAAAGUGUUAACCAUAAUACGUUUUUCGUUCUCUUAAUUGAUCUUUAGAAUUAUCUUAUACGUUUUUCAUUCUCUUAAUUGAUGUACAAUUGGAGAUGGUUUAGAUUAAUAUUUCAAUAAUUGCGCCCUUUUUACUUACUUAUCUAAGUUUAUCACUUUAUGUGUGUUUCCCUAGUUUGUUUUGUCUUUUGGGUUUUGCACUUAGGUUUCAUUCAUUCGUUCAUUAUUUCUUUCAUUAUUUCUUUCUUUCCUUCUUCCCACCAUUCUUCUUUCUUUUUUCCCUUUAUAUUUUCUCCACAACUAAAACACAAAAUGUAGAAACUAAAAAUCAAAUAGUCAUCAGACGAGUGCUUAAAUUUUAUUCUCUUAAAAUAUACUUGUUCUCUGGAACUCUCUCAUGUAGCACCCAUCUCGCUAUUUUUUUCUUCUUAUAAUACCACGAUAUGUUGACACCAAAGGAUGAGACAAUAAAUCGGUAUCAAACUUGUCAUUCAUAAGAUUCGAACCUAAGACCUCUCACUUACAAGUGAAUGGUAGUAAAGGAGAAUAUUGUGGUAGCAAAAAUCUAUUGUUUUCGGCCUAGACGAAUUUUUACCUACAAAACAAAUAAACACCUGUGAUCAAAGACAAAGCCCCACACCCAAAGAGUGAGAGGUUUGGCCAAUGGAUCUUCAAUGCCUAAGUCAAUUUCUCUAAAAAGAGAGAGGUUUAGGGCUUAAUUGUGCAGCAAAAGUUUACUAAAAUUUGGUGGAGAAUGGGGUAUUUAUAGGAGCUAGGGUCGCCAUGGAGGAGAGAGAUCUCGCGCUAUGUAUCGUCAUCCAGUUGGCCAAGGUGUGUCAUCCGUUGGAUGGAGUAGGAAAGAAUUAUCCCAAUGAUAUUAUUGAAUAAAUAAUAUCUUAGAAUUAUCUUGUGGAUCCUUGAUUGGAUUUGAUGAAAAUUUCUUGCUUGAUUAUGUAUUGUAGUCAAAUCUCAUAUUUGCACUCGAAUAUAUCAAUGUUACGUAGGUGCAAUUAAGAUAUUUGCCCAAGUUUCAUAUAACCUAUCAGGCACAUGCUUUAACUAGCUUUGGCAAAAUUCUACGAAAAUUUACGAAACCACUAUUUUCAAAGAAUUUUUUUCCACACAACAAGCUUUUUAAAAUUCUUGCUAGACAAUGUAAAGAAGUCUGGAAACGAUAGUAAUGCCAAUUCCAAAGGGCAUUACGUUUUCCUUAUUACUGGCGUAAGGGUUGCAUUUUUCAUAAAAAUUAUUGCUCAUGCUUUUUAAUCGGUUUUUUAUAAACCAACAACAAUUCAUUUUAAAGACUAAGCCGAUCCGUUUACACAGGUAUAUGGUAAACUCCAUACAGUCGCCACACAGACAACGUUCCGUACGUUAUCUUGAAUAAUAGCCAUCGUCCCUUAGGUUAGGUGGAGACAAUCGCUCUGGUAAUGUCUCAUCCGCCAAAACACCAGAAAUUAACCGCAUGCAGUUUGGUUACUUUGGUAUUGCCAGCCAUUUGGUUCUUGUUCAUUUGUUCCUCCAUGUGAUGAACGUGAAAAGUUGAAAACACGGCAUAUAUGUACAACUAGAACAAGACAUGCAGUGUUACUUUCAACAGGUGGCACGUGCUUUGCUACCUCACACUAUCCUCAUUGAAUCCAUAUCCAUCCAUAUUCAAUCAACUCUUGUGCAUUAAGGAUCUUUACGCUUCUUCAAAAUUCUUUCUCUCAAUUUCAUGAAAAUUGCAGAGAGAUGGGCGUAGCUAUUAACAGAACUAUGAAUCUUUAAAGAACACUAUGAACAAGCAGAAAGAAAGAAAACGGAAGAACAAAGUAUAUCUAAUCUCUUAGUAAUGAAGUGUUUUUACAAAGCUUUUCUUACCGAAUGUGAAAAGAUCAAAUGGCUAUAUGUACUAACCAAUCACAAUCUACAAUUACAAUAUUAUCCUUUAACCUCCUUACUCAAUUACAAUCUUAUCCUCUUUAACAAACUCAAUUCCCAACUACCUUUGUAACUAACUUGACUUAUACCUCCUUGCCAGGUGUCAUUGGUUAAUACUCCCCCCUCAAACAUAGCUGGGGAAGUCCCAAGCUAUGGUUGUGAGUUGUUGUGAUCAUUGGAUGUAUGUGCACUUGAAAACUUCAACAUUGCUUGAUGGCUAUCCUGCACCCUGGAAUUGGAAGCUCCCAGUGUAAGAUUAAUACAAUGUUUGACAAAGAUCGGACUGUGAAGACCCUUAGUAAAUACAUCUGCAACCUGCUCUUCAGUUGGGAUAUAAUGCACAGUGAUAUCACCUUUCUGCACUUUCUCUCAAACAAAAUGAAAAUUGGUAUCUAAAUGUUUGAUCCGAGAAUGAAACACUGGAUUGGAGCACAGUGCUAAAGCAGAGAGAUUAUCACAAUGAAGUUUAGGUGGUAUUGGUAUAAACUGAUGCACAUUUUUUAGUAAUGACCUGAUCCAGUAGAUAUCAGCUACACAGUGAGCUAAAGCUUUGUAUUCAACUUCUGUUGAACUUCGAGAUACUGUAGCUUUUUUCUUUGACUGCCAUGAUACAAGAUUAGAUCCAAUAAACACAACAAAUCCAGUAAUAGAUCUCCUUGUAUUUAUAUCGGCUGCCCAAUUAGAAUCAAAAUAUGCAGCAAUUUGAAAAUCAGAUGUUUUGAUAUACUUCAAACCACAGUCUAAGGUUCCUUACAAAUAUCUCAUGAUUCGUUUCACCAGAUGCAUGUGCAAAUCUGUUAGAUGAGUCAUAUACUGACAAACAACAUUAACAGAAUGAGCAAUAUCUGGGCGAGUGAAGGUGAGGUACUGAAGGGCUCCCAUAAGACUUCGAUAAUGAGUAGGAUCAGCUAAACCAUUGCCUUCAUUCACAAGUAACUAAGAGUGAGGCUUAAAUGGUGUUGAUGUGGAUUUACAAUUCUCCAUCCCUGCUUUCUUGAGUAGCUCUUUGGCAUAUUUGGAUUGUGUUACCAUCAAUGAACCAUCAGAAUUAUAGUGAAUUUGCAAUUCCAAGAAAUAUGUUAAUCUGCCCAUAUCCUUUAAAUCAAACACUUCAGCAAGACUAGUGAUAACAAAUUGAAUCUUUUGGGAGGAUGAACCUGUGAGGAUAAUGUCAUCUAUAUAGAGAAGAAGUAGAAUAACAUCCCCAUCCCCAUCGUCAACAUUUACAAACAAACUAGAAUCGGAUAAUGCAGUUUUAAACCCAAGUGCACGAAGAAAGCUUGUAAAUUUUGAAUUCCAGGCCCUUGAUGCCUGUUUAAGACCAUACAAGGACUUAACUAACCGGCAAACAUGAUUUGGAUAUGUAGUAUCAAGAAACCCCUGUGGCUGCUUCAUAUAUACUUCUUCGUCAAGAUCACCAUGAAGGAAAGCAUUCUUGAUAUCCAAUUGUCUCAAGUUCCAAUUAAAUUGUACUGCCAAAGCAAGAAUUAUUUUGACUGUAGUAUGCCUGACCAUUGGACUGAAUGUCUCAGAAUAGUCCAAGCCCUUAUUUUGACUAAACCCUUGUGCCACUAAUCGUGCCUUAUACCUGGAUAUAGUGCCAUCUAAAUUUCGUUUGAUUUUAUAGACCCAUUUACUCCCAAUAACUUCUCUAUUGGAUGGAAGAGGAACUAGUCUCCAGGUCCCUUGAGCCUUUAAGGCAUCAAAUUCCUCCUGCAUAGCCUGCUGCCACUGAGUGACUUUUGAUGCAGCUCGAAAGUGUUUUGGUUCUUCACUCUCUCCAAUAUCAGCAAGGAAAGAGAAACCACAAUGAUCCAUUGUAGUAGCAGAGACUAAAGAAGGUCCAAUAUUAACAGAACUAUGAAUCUCUAAAGAACACUAUGAACAAGCAGAAAGAAAAAAAAAACGGAAGAACAAAGUAUAUCUAAUCUCUUAGUAAUGAACUGUUUUUACAAAGCUUUUCUUACCGAAUGUGAAAAGAUCAAAUGGCUAUAUGUACUAACCAAUCACAAUUUACAAUUACAAUAUUACCCUCUAACCUCCUUACUCAAUUACAAUCUCAUCCUCUUUAACAAACUCAAUUCCCAACUACCUUUGUAACUAACUUGACCUACACCUCCUUGCCAGGUGUCAUUGGUUAAUAGUAGCUGCAUGAGUACAAGUCGAAAUAUUAUUGUUUAUAUAAAACAAUUCAUAUAAAUUCGAUUUUUUUUUUUUUUGCGAUCAUUUGGUUAAAUUUCGUUUUGCAUGUAGUGGGGUAGAAUAGAAUUCUCUCCCCUCAUAAUCUCUCUUCUUUUUCCUCCUCUUCUAUUGGAACGGUUACGAUUAAGAAAAUUCUUGCUAAAAAAUGUAAAGGAGUUUGGAAACGAUACUAAUUAAGGUUUCCUUACUGGCUUUACAAAUUGCAUUUUUCACCAAAAUAGUUGCUCACGUUUUUUAAUCGAUUUUUCUAAAUAAAAAAAACAACAAUUCAUUUUAGAACUAAGCCGAUCUGUUUACACAUGUGUAUGUGUAAACUUCAUAUAGUCAGUGACAUACCCCGACCGAGAUCGAGGCAUGCUAGCCGUCAUGUGAGGGUGACGUAGCCACGUGCACAGUGCGGAAGCAAUAAAGAUAAGAAAUAUACGAAUAAAUAAAAACCGAAAGCUACUAAUGUGCACUAAUAAACAGGAAGUGCUAGGAGUGAGAUACAAGUGUAAAUACUCCUAAUCAGAGCAUAGAAAGUCUAGGUGCAGUCCAAUAGGACAAGUACUAGUUAUACAAUACCAGAAGAUGUCCUAUAAAUAUUUUAUUCUGUCAAAACUGCUAAGAUCCUCAAUGUCACCAACAACAAAUCUAACUAAAACCUAAAGGCGCACAAAACAGAAAAUAUGAGUGGGCACAAACAAAGAUUUUCAAAACCAUUUCAUUUAUCAAACGCUUUAACCACUCGCCGUAAAACAUGUAUAAUUUUUCCUAGAAAUAGAAUAUAAACAUAUGCAUAUAUAUAUAUAUAUAUAUAUAUAUCAAUUUAAAUGAUGCUUCACAUAACCAUAUUCAUAAGUAUGUCAUGCCAAAACAUAAAAUAGAAUAAGUAACUUAGGUGAGAAUAAAUUCAUGGAAAAUAACAUAUUAGCCGGAACCCCUGUAGAAGUUUGUACGGCUAAAUUCAUAGCUCAUUAGUCAAUCUAACCGGAGUCACUACAAUGACCUAUACGACACUACACUGCAUACAAGUCGGAACCACUAAAAUGGUCUGUACGACAAGACUGGGUGUAAUAUAAUUAUGCUCCAUACUACUCUCUCAUGAUAGCUGGGCGAUAAAUCGCUAGUCACCUACGAGUCGGAACCACCUAUGAUGGUCUAUAAGACAAGACUAUGCACCUAAAUUGGAUCCAAUGUGAGCAUAUGAUGCGGGAGGUGACAUUAUAAACAGGUUUGUGUCAUAUCUCUGGCUAAAUCACUAACACCGGGGUGUAGGUUUAUGAGCUCAAUAUUUCUCAAUUAAUCACAACCGUUAAUCACAUUCACAAUUCAUAAACUCACUCGGGCUUACCAGACCAUCCACAGCACCACAAUUAUAUAUAUAUAUAUAUGCAAACAUCAUAUGCAUAUUCUAAAUAUAAAACGUUUGGCAUAGAUCAAAUUAUAACUCAUUUAAAUGCAUUUUUUGGGAAAUAUCAAGCAUAUACAUAUAUACUUAAAACCAAAGCCCACUCACUGGUAUGUCGAAGGGUCGUAGCCCCCGAGUCACCCUUGACUGCGCUCGUCCUCGGGAUAAGUCUCCCCUAUAUGCAAAACAACUAUGAAAACGUUAAUUUAAAGCACAUAACCAAUACUAGCUAAUAAUUUCUCAUAAAUUGCUCUAAUGGGAUGUUUGAAUAUACCAACGCGAUCUACACAACCUCACGAACAUCCCCAUAGUUUUAAAAUAAUUUUUCAACAUCCCACGCGUCGGCAAGGGCACGACAACACGCGCAGCCAGGCGCAGGGACCCUAACGGAAUCCCUUAACCCCGUUAGGAAUAUUCCGUUAAAUAGUAACAGAAUCCGCUAAACUAACCAACGCUGUUAGGAAUAUUUGGUCAAAGUUGACGGAAUAUUCUAUCAUCUCCUACCUUCGAACUCCGGCAACCGUCGCCGUCGCCGUCGCAAAAAACUGGGAAAAUCUUAUAAUCCUUAUAUGUCUGUCGUUUCUUAACCAAAACUUAUGAAAUUGGUCUCAAUUUAAAGCUUAUAACUAGAAGAACACAUCCUUACCAAUUUCAAGGCUUGAAAUCCACGAAAGCUCGCCGGAGAGAGCUCGAUAAUUCCGGCCAAAUUUCAAACUCUCCAAACUCAACUUCCUGACGUCCAAUUUGCUUGAUUUUUCUUCUCUGAGCUUAGUACGAACGUCCUAAAGCUUCCUAUAAGCUUAAAAUCACCUGAAAUAUCCAUAAUUACGACCACAUGAACAGUACUCAAAUCGGGGGUGAUGGUUCCUCGGGUUUUUGAAGGUUUCACGAUUUACAAAUGGCAUAUAUGAACUCAGGGACUUGCAAGGAGUUCAAAUCUUACCUUCUUGACGUCGAUCCAUGCGUAAAAUGUGAGUUUGGAGUUCAUCCAUACAUUUUGUACGAAAAUGGUAUGAAGGCCGAGAGAAGGAGAGAACGCACGAGGUGUUUUUUGUGUGUGUGUGUGUGUGUGUCCUCACUUGGUCACCCAACAAAACAACACCUAAGUUUAAUUUUUUACUUGAGUCCAAAACUUAGGAACUCAACAUAGUAGUCUACAUUCCAAAAGCAUGUCACACACGUCACAAUCUUGACAUCCAAGGGUAAAAUCAUCAUUUCACACCGUCAAAACUAAAUGUUUCGGGACGGGCUGUGACAAUCUAAAUUGUCACAUCCUGGCCCGGUCCCCCACCAUAUCCCGGGCUCAACUCUGCCGUAGCACGAUAUUGUCCACUUUGGGCCCCGACCACGCCCUCACGGUUUUGUUUCUAGGAACUCACAUGAGAACUUCCCAGUGGGUCACCCAUCCUGAGAUUGCUCUCGUGCGAACUCACUUAACUUCAGAGUUCCAAUGGAACUUGAAGCCAGUGAGCUCCCAAAAGGCCUCUUGCUAGGUAGAGAUGGGAAUAUACAUAUAAGAUUUAGAUGAUCCACUCUCCUGGGCGAUGUGGGAUGUUACAGUCAGCACACAAACAAUGCUUCAUACGUUAUCUUGAACUAGCAUCUUGUCGUACGCGUAUGCAUGUUACAAAAUAUAUUAAGAAAUUCAAUUUUUUAUUUAUUUAUAUAUUUUUGAAAAUAAAUUAGAAGUUAAACAUAAACCAUCCACUAACAUGGGGUUUUGUUAUUUUUUUCUUUCUAAGUUUAAAAUUUUAAAUUCGUUCAAAAUUAAUAUUUGUUGAAUUAUUUUAACUCCUUUUAAUUCAAUAGUAAUUUAAAAAAAAAAUUGGAGGCAAUUUAUGGUAUUUUGAAAUUAACCUGCAUGCAUGCAGUUUGACUACUUUGGCCUCCCAGCCAGUCGGUUCUUGUCCAUUUUUUCCACCCUGUUAUGAAAGUGAAAUAUACCUAUAGCUAUAAUGUACUACGAGAACAUGAGACAUGCAGUGUUACUUUCAACAGGUGGUACGCCUUGCUACCUCACACUUAUCCUCCUUGAAUCCAUAUCUACACAUUCAAUCAACUCUUGUGCAUUACGUACGUCGCUAUGCUUCUUCAAAAGUCUCUCAAUUUCAUAAAAAUUGCAGAGCUGGGUGUAGCUACAUAAGCUGCAAAAGCACAAAUCGAAGUAUUAUUGCUUAUAUAAAAGAAUUCAUAUAACUUUGCUUUCUUCUUUUUUUUUUCUUUUUUUUUUUUAGACCAUACGGUUAAAUUUCAUUUUGCAUGUCUUAGGGUAAAGGGAGUUAUGAUUUUCUCUCCUUCUAAUCUCUCUCCCCUUUCUUCCCAUCUUAUUUGAAUAGUUACGAUUAAGUCAUAUCAACAUCUUAUAUUGAUUUCUUUAUAGAGAGAGAAAGACAAAGAUGAAAGUGUGAGAAGAGGGGAGGAAAAUGGGGAGGAUUAGGGGGGAAAGAAUUGUAGUCCAGGGUAAAGAACUCAUUCACAUGCAAGAUUUGAGUCCAUUAUCAAUCAGCCGUUGGAUCUUGAACUCUCUAUAAGUAUGAAACAAAAUGAGUCCAUCUAUCUCACCCAAAAAUCAAUAAAAAAAGAUUCCAUCAGAAAUAGCCAUCCUAAUCCUUGUAUUUCCUUGCCUUCCUGUGGUCUCUCCUCUGCAUCCUAAUCAAUGUCUUCUCAAGGAAAAGCAAAAAACUACCUCCUGGCCCUAGGGCACUACCAAUCAUUGGCAAUCUUCAUAUGCUAGGCGACCUCCCACACUGCAGCCUCCAAAACCUAGCAAAAAAAUAUGGACCUAUACUGUCGAUGCGUCUAGGGUUCAUACCAACCAUAGUGGUCUCAUCUCCCCAAGCAGCAGAGCUAUUCCUCAAAACCCACGACACCAUUUUUGCUAGCCGCCCCAACAUUGGUGUUAUGUGCCUUUCCUUAGUCCACUUGAUCUUCAGGUAUGUUACCCUUCAUUGUUAAUUACCAAACUUUACCCUUCAUUGUUAAUUACCAAACUUGUUACAUGAAAAAAGUAUCUAGGAGACCGGCCAAUGUCCACUUCUAACAAUACUAAUAUUGUCUUUAACUUGUUGAUUACUACAUGCUCAGUCCGACAAGUAUGAAGGUUUAUUAUAAAAGACUUCAGUAUUAGUUGAAAGAGUUAAAAUAUUUGAACUUUUUUUUUCUUUGUCUCUGUCCAAUGUCAGAUAGUUAAACAUACCCUCUUACGUAAGACCCAUUUAGUGGGUCAUACGUGAGAAAUCCACACAUCGGCAACCAUGUGGAGCCAAAUUAUAACCUCUCUAAAUAAUUAUUAAAAAAAUAAAUAAUUUAAUCAUAACAUUUGUAAAAUUUACUAUCGUUUCCAAACUUCUUUACAUUGUCUGGCAAGAAUUUUAACAAGCUUGUGGUGUGGAAAAAAAUUCUUUGAAAAUAGUGCUUUGUAUAAUUUUCUUAGAAUUUUGUCAAAACUAAUUAAAGCCUGUGUGUAACACUUUAGAUGAAACUUGGGUAAAUAUCUUAUGUUGCACCUGCGUAAAAUUGAUAUAUUUGAGUGAAUCACGUGGAAAAGUUGAAAACGCAGCAUGUAAGUACAACUAGAACAAGACAUGUUACUUUCAAAAGAUGGCACACGUAUCCUCAUGUUGUCCAUAUCCAUCCAUAUUCAAUGAACUCUUGUGCAUUCCGCCCCCACCCACCCACCACCCCCCACCCCAAAACCAAGAAAAGUGAAUCACGUGGAAAAGUUGAAAACACAGCAUGUAUGUACAACUAGAACAAGACAUGUUACCUUCAAAAGAUGGCACACGUAUCCUCAUGUUGUCCAUAUCCAUCCAUAUUCAAUCAACUCUUGUGCAUUCUUCUUCAAAAUUCUCUCUCAAUUUCAUGAAAAUUACAGAAGUAGGCGUAGGGUAAAGGGAGUAAAAUUGUAUCCCCUCUUUAUCUCUCUUCCUUUUUCUUCUCUCCAAUUUGAACGGUUUACAAUUAAACCAUGUCAACAUCUUUUAUUGACUUCUUUAUAGAUAGAGAAAGACAAAGAAAAAAGUGUGAGAGAAGGAAAGAAAAAGGGGAAGGAAUUAGGAGUGGAGACAAUCCUAAUGGAGGUUAAAGAACUCAUUUGCCACAUGCUAGCAUUUGGUAAUAUAUCAAUUAGUUGUUAGAUCUUGAACUCUCUAUAAGUAUCAAACAAAAUGAGUCUACAUGUAUAUAUAUGUGUGUGUGUCUAAUGUCCCAUUUAUCGAUCUCACCCAGAAAUCAUAUAAAAUGAGUCCUUCAGAAAUAGCCAUCCUCAUCCUUGUAUUCCUCACAUUCCUAUGGUCUCUCCUCCACCUAAUCAAUGCCUCCUCAAGGCAAAGCCGAAAACUGCCACCUGGCCCUACACCACUGCCAAUCAUUGGCAAUCUUCAUAUGCUAGGCGACCUCCCACACCGUAGCCUCCAAAACCUGGCAAAAAAAUAUGGACCUAUAAUGUCCAUGCGUCUAGGGUUCAUACCAACCAUAGUGGUCUCAUCUCCCAAAGCAGCAAAGCUAUUCCUCAAAACGCAUGACACCAUUUUCGCUAGCCGCCCCAAACUCCAAGCCUUCGAGUACAUGGCUUACGGCUCGAAGGUCAUGGCCUUUAUUGAAUAUGGGCCAUACUGGCGCCAUAUUCGGAAACUUUGCACACUUCAACUUCUUUGUCCCUCGAAAAUUGAGGGUUUUGCUCCGCUAAGAAGGGAGGAGGUAGGGUUGUUAGUGCAGUCCCUGAAGGUAGCUGCGGAGGGGGGCGAGGUGGUGGAUUUUAGUGAGAAGGUUGGUGAGCUUGUUGAGGGAAUCACGUAUAGGAUGGUGUUGGGGAGAAAAAAUGAUGAUAUGUUUGAUCUCAAGGGGAUUAUUGAGGAAGCCCUAUUCUUGACAGGAGCUUUCAACAUUAGUGAUUAUGUGCCUUUCCUUAGUCCACUUGAUCUUCAGGUAUGUUACCCUUCAUUCUUAACUACCAAACUUGUUAGAUGAAUCAAUAAUAAAACUAGGGAAAUGCUUGGACCACUGUAAAGUAGGGACAUUUAGAUUGCACGCACGCUAUUGCUAAGCACAAAUACAAAGUAGAGGCGUUGCAAAUAAGUGCAUGCACGUAUGCGCGACUGAUCUUAGCACUACUCCUCUAAAAAUAUUUGAACUCUAUUAUUUAGAUGACGUAUUUCGAUGGAUCCAUCAACAGGAGCAAAAGCAGUGUUAGCAAAUAAAGUGAACGAGAUUAACUCGUAGUUUUAGGAAACUGAGCUCGUUUGGAUGUAGUUUUAAAAUGACUAAAAGUGUUUUUGGUAAAAUUAUUUUUAGAAACAAUCCUUCAUAAAAACGCUAACAGAUCUUGGAAAAGCAUUUAAAGUGCUUUCUGGAAGAAGCAAGUAUAACUAGUGCUUCUUGUAGAAAGCACUUCAAAUAUUGCUUUUGGAAUCCAAAAACAAUUUUUCUAUAAGCGCUUUCAAUCAUUUUAAUAGCAUAUCCAAACUCAGCCAAUAACUAGUCCGCAUUCGUACAAAUUAAUCUGAGAGGAAUAUCUGUUUACCUUAGCCAGCUAACUUAUCGUCUUUUUGCUGGUGAUAUGAUUCACAAAGUCUAAGCAUCCACAAAUUAUAAAUGCAAUACCAUAUGAUUCAUAUCGUAUGGUCCAUUCCAUAGCCUGCUGACGAUAAACUAUCUUCUAAUUCGAGAUGUAGAAACAUAUUUACAUCUUAUUUUAUAGUUUCAAGAGGUGUAGAUGGAAGUUCUAUGCUAAUGAGAGUGAUGUAAAUUUGAGCUUUUAUUUAAUUUUCUCUCUUAGAGUAGCGGAGUCCACCAUAAAAAAAAUAUACAUCCAUAUAUAUAAGUUCUUAUUUAUAUUUUCCAAAUCAAUAUUUUACAUCUUUCUGACCAACUUAAAGUAUUAAAUACAAAUUGCUCCCUAUCUUAUGCAUUUGGUUGCCAAUGCCAUCCGGGAUAUUAUUACAAUAGCAAUGGAUUUAAUGCACAAUUCAUUAUUUUAGGAACCUUAAUUUCUGCAAUCAACUAUACAAAUUUAAAAUAUAUUCAACAGGCUCUUUUAAGGGAAGAUCUCCAUUUAAAAAAUAAAUAAAAAAUAAAAAUUAGUUGUAGGGCUCAUCCCACAUCAAACUUCAAUAAUAAGAAUUGUCUAUAUUUUAUCUCUAUUCAUAGGUCAUUCUUGCAAAAAAACAAUUCAAUCCGAAAUCAUUUGGUCAUUUGAUUGUCACGAUGAAAUUUUAAAGUUUCUUAUAACAUAAUGUUCGUCAAUGUCUUGGAGCUCAAUUAGAUUAAUUGAUGCCUCAAACAUUUUUUAUUUGGCUAAUUUUGCAAGAAUGAUUUAAGAGGUACAACUUGAAUUGAAAAUAGACAAUUCGGAUAUCAUUGAAGUUCAAUGUCGUAUAAGACUGCACAAGUAAUCUAAAAAAUGAGAAUCCCUUCCCUUAAAACCAUAUGUUACAUGUAUGUUUUUUUUUUCUUCUUAUCCUUCAUAAAGGAUGUAAUACUAGUAAUAAGGAUUUUAUUUUACCAUUGAAAAUGAGGAUUUUACAAAAAUUCAAAAGAUAAAAUGCUAGUAAAUAUGUAGAUAUAGAUUUUGAGGCCUUACGUAGUUGGGUAAAAUUGAGUUUAAUUCCAAUUUUAUAAGAAUCAAACUCCUAGGGUGGAAAAUUUGCAUUUUACAUGAGUGACUCCGAUUAUUGAGUUUAAUAAUUACCAAUGACUUUAAUUCCAAUAAAUGAUCAACCAUUUGACAGAGAAAAAUAGAGAUUAAUACAUAAAAUAAGGAAAACAAAAGUCCAAUAAUAUUAUAGGAAUCAAACUCAACGUACAUGAUUAUAUGUGGGAAUGAAACUAAACAAAACUAACGUUUCUCUCUGUAAUUGUUCUUUCAUCUCAGAAAAAAGGGUUGCACAUGAUCCCUUAUACCCAUGUGAGUGUGUCACCGUAUAUGCCUAUCCUCACCCAAAAGUUACUCCAAAAAUACAAGAUGUAAUAGCUUUUAUAUAUGCAUGCAUGUCUUGUCCAUUUCAUUGUCUAAUAAAAAUGAUAGCUACAGUACUCAACUAGAAGUACAUAUGAUUGAUUGAUUGUAUGGAAUAUUAACUAUUUCUUCCACUUAGGGAUUGACCAAGCGCAUGAAGAGAGUUAGCAAAAUUGUCGACCAACUACUCGAAAAGAUAAUUCAGGAUCAUGAACAAGUUUCCAGAAGUGAGGUACAAGGCAAUCAUCAUAAGGACUUUGUAGACGUGCUACUUUCAUCAAUCCACCAACCAUUAAACCCCAACAAUGAGGAAGUCUACAUGCUCGAGCGAACAAAUGUCAAAGCCAUUUUACUCGACAUGAUUGUGGGUGCCCUUGACACCUCAACCACGGCAAUUGUCUGGACCCUGGCCGAACUCUUGAGGCACCCGAAAGUAAUGAAACGUCUCCAAGAAGAGCUCAAGAGUGUGAUCAGGAUGGAUCGAAUGGUGGAAGAAAGUGAUUUGCCAAAGCUGGAUUACUUGAGCACGGUUGUCAAGGAUAGCUUAAGGCUACACCCAAUUGCCCCAUUACUAGUCCCUCAUCAAUCCAUGGAGGACAUUACAGUUGAUGGAUAUCACAUACCUAAGAAAUCAAGAGUUUUUAUCAAUAUUUGGACCAUUGGGAGGGAUCCAAGUGUAUGGUCAGAUAAUGUGGAAGAAUUUUACAAUGAAAGGUUUAUGAAUAAUAACGUUGACCUACGUGGACAUGACUUCCAGCUCAUACCAUUUGGGUCUGGUCGAAGAGGGUGCCCUGCUAUGCAAUUAGGGUUAACCACAGUUCGUCUUGUUCUGGGAAACUUGUUGCACUGCUUCAACUGGGAGCUCCCUAGUGGAAUGCUACCUAAAGACUUGGACAUGACUGAGAAAUUUGGCUUAUCGUUGUCGAAAGCCAAACACUUGCUUGCCAUGCCGACGUGCCGUUUGUACAAUGGAAGUUGAUGAUUGGUUUAUUAGUUAAGCUUUGAUAGAUGUGCCCAUUUCUAUUGGUGACACAUCAUUUAAUUUACAAUUUUAGUCUCUUUAGCAUUACUCCCUUAAUAUAUAUAACAUUAAUUAACCAUA